rnacentral:lncRNA from 1 species
UCUCAUGGCGAACUACACUUGGAAGUGGAGUUCAGAACAAAGCACAAUGAUUACUUUUACAAAGGUAAAGUCCUAGAGAAAAUGACUGGAUUGGAUUUAUCAUGCAACAAGCUAACAGGUACUAUCCCUUCUCAAAUUGGGCACCUGCAACAAGUUUUAGCCUUGAACCUAUCACAUAAUCACUUGUCGGGUCCUAUUCCAAUUACGUUUUCAAAUCUUACCGAAAUAGAGAGCCUUGACUUAUCAUACAAUAACUUGAGUGGUAAGAUACCUUAUGAGCUAACCCAGUUGACCUUUUUAUCAACCUUCAACGUGUCAUACAACAACCUUUCUGGAACACCACCUAGUACAGGACAGUUUGCAACCUUCGUUGAGGACAGCUACAGAGGUAAUCCCGGUCUUUGUGGAUCACUCCUCGACCGAAAGUGUGAAGGUGUCAAGUCUUCACCAUCAUCACAAUCCAAUGACAAUGAAGAAGAGGAAACAAAUGUGGACAUGAUAACAUUUUAUUGGAGGUUUCUACAGCAUCUUACAUAACAAUAUUGUUGGCCUUCGUAACAGUGUUGUGUAUCAAUGCUCGUUGGCGUAUGGCUUGGUUUUAUUACAUUAGUAAGUUUGCACGAUUUUUUUUUCCAACUUUUCCAUUGUACUGAAGAGUGUACGUAGUACCUGUUGAAACUUUACGUGGAGUCUCAAAUAUUUGGAUAUUGUAAUUUUUAUAUUUAUCGUUAAUUUCAGACAGUUUGAUGCUGGACAUGAUUUUAAGCUCUUUUUAUUUUUUCAUUGUUUUUUGUGUGAUGUACUUGUCUGCAGUUGUUUGAUUUGAAGCUAUUGAAUACAUUAUUAUGUUUUUUUCUUUCUUCAUAUUAAUGCUUAUCUAAUUACUCUGUUGUCAGACUCUAAUAGCAAUCAGAAGAAGAAUUGUUGUUGUUUUUUUUAUCUUCAUAUUAAUGCAUAAUCAAUUAGCUAACUGUAUACAUUUGUCAUAGAAUAUCAAAAUUAUGCAGACUCAGAAAUAUUGAAGACUUCAUUAUGAACUUAAUAUCAUGUUAAUAGUCUCAUUGAAAUGUGGUUGUACUUGUACACUUGUACUAGUUAAUUAUGUUAUCAAUUAUCUUAGUACUGGACCUCGACUAAGUAUGAGAAUGAUGUUAGUUUAUUGUAACACGUAUUAUUAUCAAAUCUCUUAUUAUUUGUGGUUUCUUUCAUCCUUUUGUAUUGAAACCAUGUUGUUGAAUCCAAUAGCAGCGAUUUCCGAUUAAGUUGCAUACAACUUCUGUUACCAUCUUUGUCGUCAUAUCAUAUCCAAGAGUUCCUCAAAUAGCUCUGAGACCUGUUUCAAAGAUCCAUCAAAUGACGUUCUGCAGCCAUUGACCCGGCAGCAGCCAUUGAUUCUGUGACAGGCCCUAUGCUAGAGUAUUAUUGAAAAGAUGAAAAGAAAACGAGCAAAAACUGUUUUUUACUCGAGAGCAUGCUCUGUCGAUGGAAUCAUUCCCUUCUAGAGAGCCUUGUGUACAAUACUAACUCCAAUGCCAUUAAUAUUUGCCUUUAGUUUUCUUUUGUCAUUAAUUAAUUCUUCAACCACCAAAUCGGGUCAUGUCUUUAUAAGUCAAUCUCAAAUUAGUCUCUAACUCUAUUAAUAUUUCAAAUUAGUCUCUGUCUUUCUCAAAAGUUUCUAAACCACAUUCCUCGACAUGUGACAAAAACAUAAAGACAAGGACCUAAUUAACAAACUUUUAACAAAGUGCUUUUGUAAGUAAUUCAUUAUGAGACCCUAUGUUUUACGGUUUCUUUCAUAAUGUUAUUGUUUUUCAUUGAAAGGUUUAGCUCUCAUAUUUAACACUUUUGUUGUUUUUUGUUAAAGUAACUUCUUAUAUUUUUCUAAUACCUCGAAUGUCAAUGUAUCUUACUAAUUUGUUUAUAUCCAUGAGAUUACAAUUAGUUGUUGAACCUUGUUUAAGCGUUUUCGUGAGAUCUGUCUGAUUUAAUGAACAGAAUGGCUUUUCCAGGUCGCAUUGAGCAUGGUAUGAGAGGAAGGUUUUGCAUCUUUCUACUAUGGCCUUUGGCCGUCACUUAUUGGAAUAGCUUCAUAUAUUCCAGUUAACUUUUGUGUUUUUGACUUGCGAUCGAGUUUGAGUAAUUGUUUUUGACUAACAUUGAAAUUAAAACAUCAUAACCAUACCAGAGAAGUCGUCACCACCAUGCUUUAAAAAUUCAGCAUCACUUGCAACACAAUGAUGGGAAAUAUUUGAAGCUCAAAUGCUUCAGUGUUCACAUAUAACUGCCAUAUUAAUAUUAUGGUCGAUGCAGGUAAUGGGAAACACAUGAAUCAAAAUUGGCAAAUGAUCAUAUACUUGUUUUUUCAUUGGAAGAUCUUUCUUAUGAUCUGAAUGGCAACUUUACCCAUUCUAGCUAUGGGUAAUCAACGGUGCAAGGCUGCCCCUGAUUGUCUUUCAAAUUCAAACGAGAAUGAAAUGUAGAAAGAGUUUUCAUUUUUAUACAAAAGAGCUUAUUACGCAGUUGCUUGGUUGGAAUUAUUCACAAAUAAUAUAAAAUUUGUUUUGUCAUUCUACUUAUACUAGUUAUUUUGCAAAAACAUAUUAAGAAAUGUAAUUAAUAUUGUAUAUGAAAGAGAUAUUAUCAGUAGUUUUACACAUUUGUCUUAAAAUGAUUGAAAUUAAUAAAUAGGUAAGAGUAUAAUAGGAAAAUUAACAUUAAUGUUACCGUAAAACAACUUAUAAUUUGGGACUAACUUUUUUUUUUUUUCUUUUUUUUUUUUCAAAAUUAUAAUUUGAGAUGGAGAGAGUAUUAAUUAAACUAGUAAUGUUAACAUACGUACGUAUAUUUAGUCUUGCAAGCAGCAAGAUAACAUUAGCAUCUUUGUCAAAUGUCAUAUUCUCUAGUCAACUCCAAGUCUUUCUUGUGCUUCAAGGAAGUUUCUUGGAAUUGAAAAGUCCCAUCUUUGUGUAUACAUGAAUUUGGGGCAAGACUGAAAAGUCCCAACAUAAUGAUUCUUGCCGGAAAGAAAGACACUUACAAAACUAAAUGAUAUGUUAUCAUAAUUUUCCGGUAACAUUUUCCACUUCCUAUUAGUUUAAUUUAUAUGCACAGCCAAUUUAAAGAUUUUUUACACUUGCAAUUGUCAUAUCAUUGAAAUCAUUUAACUUCAAUGAUAACUACUUCUAAAGUUGUACAUAUAAUUAAUUGUGAUUUGUUAAUAAUAUAAUUUUUUUUUUUUUUAAAUUGACGGUGUAUAUCAAAAUUAACUAUGGCUACAUCAAGGUUUGUUAUAUCAUAGUUUAAAAAGUGAAUACUUUUUCCUCUCCUCACUGAUUCCUUAUAUUUUUCAAUGUAGGCAGGAACCGAAAGUUUUCAGUUUGAUGAGAACAUAGAACAGGAAUGGAAAAUUCAAAUACAAAAUUUAGGCAAUGGCUAAAACAGCAUUUUAAGUAUAAUAGAUGGAAAAAAAAACUUAUAAUAGAAGGAAAAAAUUAAGAUUUAUUGAUACUGGAAAAAAUUAAGAUUUAUUGAUAUUGCAAAAUGAUAUAUAAAUUGGGAGAAAAAAAAAAAGUAAAUGGGAGAAUUUUACUUCUUAUAACUUUAAACUUAUUUGACGCUGGUUAAACUAUUUUUAAUGACCGAUGUUAGUAUACUUAAUUAUUACUUACUAUCCUAUUUGUUUGAGGGAGAAGUUGAGCAAAUGACCUCUUUACCACUCAAAUACUUACAUCCUUCCGUUAAACUACCAAACAAAGACCCCUAUAUGGUUACUAUAUUGAAAGCAACAACUAACUACUAAUGUUCACAUACAUAUUUAAUAUCAUGCAAGAUAAGUUUAGCAUCUUUCUCAAAUGUCAUCAUCUCUAGUCAACUCCAAGUCUUUCUUGUGCUUGGUGGAAGUUUCUUGUAAUAGAUAAUAUCCCAUAAUUUUAGUGUAUAUAAUGUAUAUGAGGUGAUUAUAGGAUUCGGACCAAAACUGCACACAAUACCCAUACAUUUCUCAAAAAUGAAGUUGGGUUUGAUAAUUAGUUCCCUUUUAUAUUUUGUGAUUUUAAUGUUAAUUCAAAAUCAAGGAUGUAACGGAUGCUUAGAGAAAGAGAGAAUAGGGUUGUUGGAGAUCAAGCACUACAUCUUGUCACAAGACGAAGGAUAUUCUUACCAUAGCACAGAAGAGUAUUCUUAUAAUAUCAAAGAAUUGGGUUCAUGGGUUGAUGAUAGAGAUAGCAAUUGUUGUUCUUGGAAAAGAGUCAAGUGCUCUAACACCUCUUCUGGUCACAUAACUGAAUUAUCCCUUUACUUGUUACUAUUUGAGACCCCUGAUUCUAAGAUGUUAAAUGUUUCAUUGUUCCGUCCAUUUGAAGAGCUACGCCUCCUUGACUUGUCCUAUAACUCCUUUCAAGGUUGGAUUGGCAAUGAAGGUACUACGUUGGCCCUUAUAUAUAAAAUUUCUUUAUUAAACUUAUACAAAUUAAAAAAGUUCUUUAAUUUUUAUUUGUUGUGUUAAAUUUGUUAACAUUUUAAUUUAUAUUAAAAUUUCUUUAUUAAACUUAUACAAAUUAAAAAAGUUCAUUAAUUUUUAUUUGUUGUGUUAAAUUUGUUAACAUUUUAAUUUAUAUUAUCCCCGUGAGCUUAACUCAGUUGGUAGGGAUAUCGCAUAUUAUAUGCAGGGGCCGGGGUUCGAACCCCGACACUCCACUUCUCCACAAUUUAAUUGUGUGAGCUCUUGCCAUUAGGCUACUUGCACUACAAGAAACAUUGCAUUUUGCCAGGGGCAAAAUCCCUGAGAAAAUGACAGAAUCCCUGAGAAAAGGGACAUUUAUGAGGGAAUUUGCCAGGGGCGGAAACCCUGGCAAAACAGCUCAUCGCUAACAUUUUGUGAGGGGUUACACCCCUGGAAAAAAAACGAGGGGCUAAACCCCUGACAAACUGCGUCACUUAAACCCUGUCUUAUUCCCUGGCAAAAUUCGUCACUUUUGUCUGCAACUAUGCAGGUCUGCUCUGACUUGACUGCUGACUGACGGAAUGUCAAAUCAGCAGGGUAACUUAAGCCAAGGCCUUUGCGAGUGGUAUAACCCCUGGCAAAUGGUAUAUUAAUUUUUUUAAAAAACUGGUUUUAUUUUUUAAACUGAUUUUUUAAUUAUUAAUUAAAUGUUUUUAAAAUAAUUUUAAUUAAUGAAAUGUUAUUUAAAUUAAAUUAAAAAUUGUAUUUUUUUGUCAAAGUUGUUUUUGAAAAAAAUGUAUAUUUAAAGUUGUUUUCAUAUUGGCAUAUAAGAUCCUUCAAAAAAAUAUUGGCAUAAAAGAUAUUUAUAAAUUUAUUAAUUAAAUUGAGUUAAUUUUAUCCACAUGUAAAAAUUGUAUUGUCUGGUUGUUAAAAUGAACGAAAUGUUAAGAAAAUCAUAAGGAUUGAUAUAACACACAUUUUAAUAUAACAACUACAUUUACUAUAGAUUGAAUUUUCGUUAUUGAGUCUUAACAAUUUUAUUUUAAAAGAUGGUUUUAGUAUUAUGUAGUCAUUUUAUGACAAAACACAAUUGUUAUCAAUAUUGGGCAAAGAUAAUAGACAACCGAUUUUUUUCUUUCCAGAUCUAAGAGCAACACUAAAAAGAUCACACAACAAUAAGACAAGAAAAUGAUUACAAAAAAUGCCAUGACCAUCAUCUUCCUUUUGAACCAGUAAUCGCUAUGAAGGUCAUGCUUGUAAUAGGAAAGAAAAAAUGCAGCAAUAUAAAGAGAAGUUCAUGGGUAAAAGUACUAGCUUGACACCCUAACUAGAAAGAUCACGUGUAAAAGAAGGAGCAUGAAGAAGGUGCUAAAUUGAAAAUAGAAAGAAAAACAAGAAGAAGCUUUCAUGAGUAAAACAAUGAUUAAUGGAAAUAGAGUGUAAGAACUAAGAACCAUAGCAGCAACGUCUUCAUUAGCGGUUUCAGACUUCAGAGUGAUUUUCAAAUGGAUAUGAUGCAUAUGGUGUGUUAGUGGUAAUGGUCACCAAAUGGAUAAAAACAUAAGUUGUGGACAUAUUUGGUGAUAUAUAAAAUUGAAGGUACACGGUUUGGCAAUGGUGCAGGAAUAUGCCACGGCCGUACAGCAAUAUCCGAGGGGUAAAACCCCUGGCUUGCUGGCAGCACAGUUUUUGCAGCAGGUUUUGUCAAGUCAAAACAGCAGGUUUUGCAGGGAAUCCCUUCUUUUGGCUAAGUUUUUUUUUUGAAAAAGCUGCACAACUAGAUUUUUUGAAUUUCAAGUUUGGCGCUCAAAUUAAAGACAGGGGUUGUGUCUUUUUGCCCGGGGCAAACCCCUGUCUUAUGGUAAGUGGUCCUCGCAUUUCUUAAAGUCCAUUUGUGAGGGGUUUCCUUGACAUUUUUCAUGGCAAAUUUGCUAGGGGUUUUAUGUCCCUGGCAAAAUUCUUGGCAAAUGGUCAUUUUUCUUGUAGUGUUGAACCAAAAAAAAAUAAAUAAAUAAAUAAUUCAUAUUGUCAUAAUUAGCAAUAAUUGACCGGUGAGUUUAAGUUUUCUAAAUAAGAUUAUUAUUUUACAACAUAAAAAAUCAAUGUACAAAUCUCAAUUAAGAGAGAUGUCAGUACUUUCUAUUUACAAUAUCUUAUAUACGAAUCAAAAAAAAAUAUAUGAAUUCUUUGUCAGAUGGUCUUACUAAAUUUGGUGGGAUCAAUAUAAAUUUCAACCAAUACAAACAUAAGUGUUGUAAAUAGUACUCUCUCCGUCCCUAUAUGUAACCUCCUUUUGCAUUUUUCAUAUUUUUUAAUAAAGUUUUCGGUGUAAUUAAUAUGUCUGUUUUGUGCGUUAAUAUUACUAAAUUGUCAUUUGUUUGUAUGUGUAUUAAAUUUAAUUUUUCAUAUUUCAAUACAAGCUAGUAGUAUUAAUUAAGGGUAUGUUUAGAAAAAAAAAAAAAAAUGCAUCUAGUAAUAUGAAAACGGGUUUACAUUUAGAGACAAAAAUAAAAUCAAAUUGGUGCUUAGAUAUAGGGACGGAGGAAGUAUAUCACUAGCAUAAUUAAAAGAUGGUCUCAUAGCUUUCUCUGUUUCUUUCAAACUAACUUACUAUGCUUCUUUUGAAGGUUUUCAAGGAAUUAAAAUGGUGGAGACAUUAGACCUUUCAAGGAACCAUCUAAAUAGUAGCAUCUUAUCAAGUUUGAAUAAUGGAUUAACGGCUCUAACAACUUUGAACCUCGGUAAUAACAAAAUAGAUAAUAACUUCUUCGCUCAAGGUACAAUUUGUUUGUAUAAUUUAUUUACGGGAAAUGUUAAUAAGUGCCCUCAAGACAUUUGAUAAAAAGACUAAAGAAGAAAUGUUAUCUUGGAAAUGGUGCAUUCAAUGUAUUGAAAUUUUAAAAUAUAAUUUUUUCUACUUAAAAUUCAUCAAUUAUUUCUAUUUAUGUAUUCUUAAAAAGUGUCCUGAGGCCAUUUGUUAACAAGGAUUUUUAUUCAUUUUUGUACUACAUACGAUGGAUAUGACUGCUUGUUUGAAUCUUGUAUGUUUUAUCAAUCAGCAAUGCAACUUUAGUACUUAUAUAUAAGACUUAGUUAACAAAUUUAAAAAGUUUGUUAAUUUUGUAUUUUUUUGUGUGUUAAAUAUGCUAACAUUUUAAUAUUAAUUUUAAAAAGUAUAAAUAAUUGACAAUAUAAAAUAGAUAUCGGUAGAACACAAAAAAAGAAAAUAGAUGUCUGUAUUUAGUAUUUACAAUAUCUUGCAUAUGGAUGAAUGAAAGAAUUCUUUUAUAUAUGUGAUUGAAAUAUAUGAAUUCUUUCUAUCUCUAUAUUUAUCUAGAAUAUCAAUAGGUCUUAUUAAAUUUGGUGGGAUUAGUAUAAAUUUUGACCAAUACAAAAAUAAGUGUUGUAAAUAAUACGGUAAAUUCCUUAAAAAAAAGUAAAUAAUACGGUAAAUGUUAUGUCAUUAGCAUAAUUAAAAAAUAAUUAAUACAAGAGAGAUAAUUUUAACGAGGAGUUGCCCUCCGUCUGGCAUGAAAUUUCUCAUUCUAAGAUAUAAGCUUGGAAUUUAAUUUCGAAUCUUCCAUUUUUUUUCUUUUUCUUUUUUCCCCGUAACAUUGUAACACUAUAAAUUUUUUGGGUUAAUAGGCUUUUACCCCCCUGCCAUUUGGGCGUCUUUUGGUUUACCCCCCUACAAAAAAAAAACUUGGAGAUUCCCCCUUGCAAAAUGAAGAUUCUUUGGUUUUGGACCCUGAGUCCAUCUGACUGUGUAAUUUAGUUGAUGUGGCGUGCUGACUGUGUAACGAUGGAUGAAGUGGCACUGACACGUCAUAAUUUUUAUUUUUUUAUUUUUAAAAUUAUGUUAAAAAUGUGAAAUACCUAAAAUACCCCUAAUGAUAAAUUAAAAAUUCCAAAUCUUUUUCUCCCCUUCUUCUCCUCCAGCAGCGACCCUCUUCUUCUAUUCUUCUCUACUUCAUCAUCUACAUCAACACAACAAACACAACAACACAACAAUUCAACACAACAACAACAAACAUCUUCUUUUCAAACUCACAACAACACAUCAUCAACAACAUCCCAAAUCACAAAUCACAAACAUUCAUCUUCUCACCCAUAAAAGCAAAAGAGUCUCAAAAUAGGUCUGAAAAUUCUAACCCAUAAAUCCGAAGAAAAAAAUCCGAAAAAUGUUAUUGAUGUUGUUUAUGGGUCGAAAAAUGGGUUUGAUAAAAAAUGGAUUGUUGUUGUUUGAAUCUCAAUAUGUUGUAUUUGUUUGUGUGUUAUUGUUGUUUGAUUGGAUCCAAAAGUUGUUUUGAUUUGUAUUGUUUAUGUUUUUGGCUAUGUUUUUGCCCAGAGAAGAGAAUAGGAAGGAGGAAAUGGGAAUGAGAGAGAAGGGAGUAAAAAGAAGAACAUGGAGAGAAGGAAGAAUGGGGACGAGAGAGAGAGAAGGAAGGAGGAAAUGGAGGAGAAAAGAAAAAAUAUAUUUUUUUUAAUGUUUUUAAUUUAUAAAAUUAAGUUUUUAAUAAAAGAAAUUCAAAUAGAGAAAAAAAUAAUUGGAAAAGAAAUAAAAAAAAAGCCACGUCAGCAUGCCACCUCCUUAAUUAUGCACAAUCAGCGUGCCACAUCAUCCCAUUAAUCCAGUCAUAUGGUUUGGGGGGCGUAAACCAAAGAAUCUUCAUUUUACAGGGGGAAUCUCCUAAGUUUUUUUUUGAUAGGGGGGUAUACCAAAAAACUCCAAAAUGGCAGGGGGGUAAAAGCCUAUUAACCCAAAUUUUUUUUUGAGAAAUAUAUAAAUCUUUCCAUAAACGUAGCUCAAUUGAUCGGAACAUUGCAGUAUGUUAGGGUCGGUGUUUGAAUCCUUAUUCUUCAUUUAUUUACCUCAAGAUGUGAAUUUAUAGCUAAUAAAUUACUUGACAAAAAAAAGAUAAAUAAAUUGUUAAUAUGUCACACGCACUUGGUCAUUAAAUUCUUUUUUUUUUUUUUUGACAAAUAGUCAUUAAAAUUCAUGGAACCCACGUUAUGAAGUUUUUUUAAAGAGGUUCACAAGUUGAUUUGGAGAAUUUGAAGAUAUAAAUCUCAAAUAUUAAUAUUAUUUAGGCGUUAGACUAUUUUCUUCUUAAAUUAACAAUAACUAAAAUUAAUUUGUGAAAUGAACUUUUUUUUAAGUCACGUUUGUUUUUUAUUGCCAAUUCGGUCUUUAAGAUAGUCUCAGAUAUUGAUUGAUACUAUGAAAGUGUUUUUAAUUUUAUAAUGAUUUCAUUAAUUCUUUAAUUUUAUAAUGAUUUCAUAAAUUCUUUAAUUUUAGGAUCGACCUAUGUAAUUUUUUAGACAAACUGAGUGGUUUGUUUUUCUAUUUCACAUGACUCGCUGUUUUUUUUUUCCCCUUCAUUUUUCGUGACUUUUAUUUCUCUUUUGAAACAAGUGUAGAAAUAAACUCUUAAUUAACAAGAAACUGUUUUCAUUAAUCAAAGAUUGUGUAGAAAGUAAAUGGCAUCACUAUACAACAUAUUUGUUAUCAAAUGUAAACUUCUCAUAGCUUAGUAUGCUUGUUUUGAAGGUUUUCCAAGACUUGAAAAAUUGGAGACAUUAGACCUUUCAGACAACUAUUAUCUAAACAGUAGCAUUUUGUCAAGUUUGAAUGGAUUGACUGCUCUAACAACUUUGAAGUUGGGUUCUAAUUCAAUGAAAAACUUCUCUGCUCAAGGUACAUUUUGUUUCAAUAAUUUAUUUGUGGAGUUUAUGUGAUGAAGUGAAUGAAUUAGAAGACAAUUAUAAGAUCUCGAAGAAAAUAUUAAUUUUUAACGAUAAUAAGAGACUUUAAAUAAAAUGAAAAACUGGUUAUGAAUCAUUGGUAGGAAUUGAAAUUAAUUAACAAAAGCUUUUCAUUAUGUAUAUUGUUGAAGGAUUUUCGAGAUCAAAGGAGUUGGAGGUCUUAGACCUUUCCCAUAAUGAGCUAAACUGCAAUAUCAUAACAAGUUUGUAUGGUUUCAUAUCAUUAAGGAGUUUGAUUUUGAGAGAUAACAAGUUCAAUUGUUCUCUCUCCACUUUAGGUACGCAUCUUCAAAUAAUAUAUUAUGGCAAAUGUUUUUAGUUUCAUUUAAAAAAAAAAGUAUUAUGUCCUUGCAACAGAUUUUGCCAAAUUUAGUCGGCUAGAACUAUUGGACUUGGAUGGUAAUCAAUUUAUUGGUUCACUACAUGUUGAAGGUACUUUUACUAUUAUUUUUGUUUCAACUACUAUUUAUGGUUACAAAGGAACACAAAAUUUAUUACCACUAUUUAUGGAAAAGAUUUUAUAGGAAAAUUUAUUCUGUUUGAGAAAUUCAGACAUUGUUUAGGAGUUAGCAGUUUGUUUAUAAAUCAUAUUCUCAAUAGAGGCUCUAAGUUAAUGAGUUUACAAUCUUUAAUUAAAUUCAAUAAAAUAAUUCUAAUUAAAUAUGUUUUGCCACUCUCCACAUAAUACUCUUUGCACACUCUAGCGCCUUAGCUUCUAUUAUCUCUUGGGAAAGAAGGAAGAUAAUAGAAGUUUCAUAAAUUUUUUUGUAAUGAAUGGUGAAGUUUCAUAAGGUUGAUCACCAAUGUGAUAUUGGCUAUUGUUGAAACCCAAUGGUGAAAUGAACCGGAGCUUUUGUAUUUCCUAACAUAGUAUGCCGAGCUGAAUGAUUCCCAUAUACCAAUUUGUCAUCAAGGAUUCUCCAAGAAUUUGGUCUCCAUGUCAAUCAGCUCUGACACAAAGGCCUCUUCUUUAAAUUUCUUAGUUCUUACAGAUUUAUUGAAUAUUAUAUCUCUAAAUAUGUACUUUUUUUUUUUUUUUCUUUUUUGCAGAUGUUCAACACUUGAAAAAAUUGAAAAUGUUAAGUUUAAGCUAUAAUCAAAUGAACGGCUCAAUUGAAGGUAUCAAUACUAUCAAACAUAAAUAAUUAAUUGGUUUGAUUUGUAAAUUAAUAUAUAUAUAUAUAUAUAUAUAUUGAGUCCAUUGGAAAAACUUUAAGAUUUUUAUGAUAAUGUCAAUUUUUGUAAAGAUAACUGGACAUAGUUAAUUAUGACAGGACUAUGCAAUUUGAAGGAUUUGGUAGAACUGGAUAUCAGCAAAAACAUGUUUGGGGCUAAACUUCCUGAGUGUUUAAGUAACUUAACAAACCUCAGAAUUCUUGACCUUAGCCAUAAUCUAUUCAGUGGAAAUUUUCCAUCCUUCAUUAGUAAUCUCACAUCCUUGACAUUCUUAUCACUCUAUGAAAAUUACAUGCAAGGAUCAUUUUCACUUAUCAUUUUGGCUAAUCACUCCAAUCUUCAGCAUCUACAUAUUUCAUCGAAAAACAGCACUGGAGUACACAUUGAAACUGAAAAAACAAAGUGGUUUCCUAAAUUUCAAUUGAAGUCCCUCAUUCUUAGAAAUUGCAACCUAAACAAGGACAAAGGAAGUGUCAUUCCUACUUUUCUUUCUUAUCAAUAUAAUUUGAUACUGAUGGACCUCUCUAGCAACAAUAUUGUUGGCUCACUCCCAAGUUGGUUGAUAAAUAAUGAUGCCAUACAAUAUUUGGAUCUAUCAAACAACAAUUUUAGUGGUUUGCUUCCAGAAGAUAUAUUCCUUCCAAGUAUUACCUAUUUGAACUUUUCAUGGAAUAGCUUUGAAGGAAAUAUACCUUCAUCAAUUGGUAAGAUGAAAAAUCUUGAGUACUUUGACCUCUCUCAUAAUAAUUUCUCAGGUGAGUUACCUAAACAACUGGCCACAUAUUGCGAUAAUUUACAAUACUUGAUUCUCUCCAACAACUCUCUACGUGGGAAUAUUCCUAAAUUUGUGAGUAUGGAAGUUUUAUUACUGAAUAAUAACAACUUUAGUGGAACACUUGAUGAUGUAUUGGGAAAGGGAAAUAAUACAAGAAUACUAAUGCUAUCCAUAUCCAAUAACUCGAUCACAGGCAGAAUUCCUAGUUCAAUUGGGAUGUUUUCUAACAUGUAUGUCCUUCUUAUGUCUAAAAAUCAAUUAGAAGGUCAGAUCCCUAUUGAGAUUUCCAACAUGUCCAGUCUUUAUAUUUUGGAUCUUUCUCAAAACAAGUUAAUUGGAGCAAUCCCAAAGUUCACAGCUGGAUCUCUGAGAUUCUUGUAUUUACAACAGAAUGAUCUCUCUGGAUUUAUACCAUUUGAACUCUCUGAAGGCUCAAAACUACAACUUCUAGAUUUGAGGGAGAACAAACUUUCAGGUAAAAUUCCCAACUGGAUGGAUAAGCUCUCAGAGUUGAGGGUUCUUUUAUUAGGAGGGAACAAUUUUGAAGGAGAAAUUCCAAUUCAAUUUUGUUGGUUCAAAAAGAUCGACAUAAUGGAUCUAUCACGGAACAUGCUCAAUGCUUCAAUACCAUCUUGCCUCCAAAAUAUGUCAUUUGGAAUGAGACAAUAUGUUCAUAAUGAUGAUGAUGACGGUCCUAUUUUUGAAUUCUCAAUGUACGGAGCUCCUACAGAUAUUUCCUUCAAUGCUAGUUUGUUGAUUCGACAUCCAUGGAUUGGAAAUUCGUUGAAAGAAGAACUACAAUUUGAAGUGGAGUUCAGAACAAAGCACAAUGAAUACUCUUACAAGGGUAUAGUUCUAGAGAAUAUGACUGGAUUGGAUUUAUCAUGCAAUAAGCUAACAGGUGUCAUCCCUUCUCAAAUUGGAGACCUACAACAAAUUAGAGCCUUGAAUCUAUCACAUAAUCACUUGUCUGGUCCCAUUCCAAUCACUUUUUCAAAUCUUACCCAAAUAGAGAGUCUUGACUUAUCAUACAAUGACUUGAGUGGUAAGAUACCCAAUGAACUAACCCAGCUAAACUUUUUGUCAACCUUCAAUGUGUCAUACAACAACCUUUCUGGAACACCACCUAGUACAGGACAAUUUGGAGGCUUUGUUGAGGAAAACUACAUAGGUAAUCCUGGUCUUUGUGGACCAUUCGUCAAUCGAAAGUGUGAACAUGUCGAGUCUUCAGCAUCAUCACAAUCCAAUGACGACGGAGAAAAGGAAACCAUGGUGGACAUGAUAACUUUUUAUUGGAGUUUCACAGCAUCUUACAUAACAAUAUUGUUGGCCCUCAUAACAGUUUUGUGCAUCAAUCCACGUUGGCGUAUGGCCUGGUUUUAUUAUAUCAGUAAGUUUAUGCGUAGAUUUUUUCCAACUUUUCCAUUGUAUUGAAGAGUGUCCAUAGUUUAAACUUUAUGUGGAGUCUCAAAUAUUUGGAUAUUGUAAUUUUUACCUUUAGCUUUAAUUUUCGAGAUGUUGAGACUUGAGAAAUUGAAUGUUCAGUUCCUUUUGUCAACUUUAUGAUCAUCGUGUUGUUUGUGUGAUGUAUUUAUCUGGAGUGGUUUGGAGGCAUUGUUAUAUAUUAUUGUAUUAUUUAGCAUUUUGAACCUAUGGGUCGUGCAUGAUGAAAACAUUGCUUAGUCUAUAAACAAAAUGAACAAUAAAUAUAGAGAACGCAACAUUAGCAGAACCAUAUUUUUUUGGCCUUGGUAUCCUUUCGUCGUCUCUGUAUUUCCUUAAGGAACAUUAAGUUUAAUCCUAAAUAGAUUUUUUGUGAAAAACUACGUGCAAUGUUUGAUGUUCUUGUAUGAAAUUGAAUGAUUCUACAGCUAAGACCAUAAUUAAUUUGACGAUGCUUUAUGAAAUUUGGUACCUUGAUCUUGUGGUUGUCACUUGUGGUUAAUGUUUCUUUGAACCAAUAGCAAACAACACAAUUCAUUCCAAAUUCGCCUCCGCUUAACAAACCGAACAACGAACUUGCGACGACGGCUCAGCUUCUAAACCGAACAGCAUUGUUCUUUUUGCCAUUUAUGAAACGACAUUGCUUUUGGUAGAUUCACGGAGUUGGAAUUGGACAAUGCUUAAAAUUGAACAUUUUAGGGACCAAAUUAAGUAUUGGCAGUUGAAUUGAAUUAUGUAAAUGCUUAAUAAAAUAGGUUUGUUUCUUGUCAGUGGUUAAUAAGUUGUGAUCACCCCUUAUGCAGAUCUUGUUAUGUUAAUAAUCUCAAUGAAAUGGGGUUGUACACUUACUAUUUAUGCUUUCAUAAUACUGGACCUUGAUUAAUUUAAGUAUGAGAAUAAUGAUGUUAGUUUACUCAAAUUGAUGUUUUAAUUUUAAAAGAAUUUGCAAAUACUUGCAUUAAGUUGCAUACAACUUAAGUAUUUUCAGCCAUGAACCCGGUAGCAGCCAUUGAUCCUGUGAUAGACCCUAUGCUCUGUCGAGGGAAUCAUUCCCAUCUACAACUGAAAAUCAGUCUAUCGAUUGUGAGUAAAUAUCCAGAACGUACCCCUCCUUCUCGAGCCACGUCUAUUUAUAUCCCAAGUACACCCUUGUGUACAAUAGUAACUCCAAUUUAACUUACUAAAAUGCAGGUCUUGCCAAACUUUUUUGAAAAAAGUUAACAGAAGAACAACUCUGCUUUACGAAAAAAAAUACUUUACUGUGACUUCUUUUGAAGAAUAAAAAAUACAUUAUAGUCGAAUUAUUUGAAUUAUUAACAAAUGUAUAAGAUUAAUUAAUACCCUUAUUUGUGCAAAAACUGCAACAUUCCUUUUAGUUGUUAUAGUAAUCAGUGGUAAGCACACACUGGGGAAUAGAAUAGUUUAAGUUUAUAUGCUUCAGUGUUCUUGUGUGAAUACCAUGUUAAGUUUUUGGUUGAUGCAAGUAUUGUGGCACAAGAUGGAGCUAUUGGCUUAAACCGAGGAUUCAUGCCCAAAACAUUAAAAAUCCGAUUAUGUUUCCUUAAAUUCCGAUUUUGUUGAUAUUUUAUACUUAAAUUACAUCUUAAAAAAUAAGCAGAUAAAACUCUGUUUCAAACAAGAGAUUGCUAUUCUCAUUCCAUUAAGAACAAAUACUCACAACAACAAGAGAUUGUGAUUAGUUACCUGGCCUAUGUCUAAUUUAUUUUUCCGUACUACAUAUGACAUUGUCAAAUGUCUGAUUGCAGCUAGUGAGAAAGAGUUUCAAACAAUCGCUGAGGAAAACCGCAACAAACAAAAGAAAAACACAUAGUCAAUGAUGGUGAACUUAAGAAUGAUUUUGUUUUUGCCAUUUUUUACUGCUAUUAUUUGUGGGAGUUACUUUUGCCAAACUGCUACGAGUGAUAUAUCUCAGAAGGGGCUGUAAAAUUUGUAGGACACAAGUUUGUUCUAGGUGCACUAUUCUCUUGAAAAUCAAACAAAUAAUUGAGCAUAGUUGUUAAAAUCGUUCAGAUACAACCCUCAUUGUUAAUACAAGACACAUGGCUUGAUUAUUCAUUGUACUACUAAUAUGACUCCAUACCUAUGAAGCAUGGAUAUAGACGGACACGACACACAAUGACGCACCAACAUUGAUAAUAUUUUGAGAAAAUAACAUAAUUCAAUGUAAUAAUAUAUGCGUGUCAAUGUGUCCUACUUCAUAAUACACUUAAUCCCAUGAGUGUUUGUGCUUGAUAGCUCUUUACAUCUCUAUGAAUUAGAAUAUGUAGAUAGCAAAUGUCUUUUAAAGAUAAUGAACAUGUUCGUACUAUAUAUAAUCUGAAUCGGGAACAAUUUGUUUGGAAUAUAUAAUACGAACGGGUUCAGCAUUCAAUAAAAAAAAUCAAAUCAACUAAUUUUUUUUAUAAGGAAUGAGAUUUUACCUUGUGCUUGGUGUUUGAAAAAGCUUGAAAUGGUAUCUUUGGGUAUAAGUUUACCCUUCAAAAGAGAGAGUUUAUUUAAGUUCCCAUGAGGAUAUCUUUGGGUGCCAACUGGAGUUAAAGAUCUUAAUUACGGAGCGUUAGUCAAAAAGAAAGAGGUAGUACUUUGGUGGUAUAUUGAUAAAGAAAUAUUUAAUACACUUGAAAAUCCAAAGAUGGUCUUAUAAAGAAAAUGACAAGAAUUUUUUUUCCAAAUGGGAUGUAUAUUUUUUACUUAAUUUAAAUACUUGAUAAUCUAAUUGUUUUCUUUGAUAUCUAAUAUUUUAGAAAUCAUCUCCAUCAUAUCGAAAUUUACACUAGUGUUUCAAAUUGUAGACCACAUGUUCAAAUUGAAAGCAACUACACUAAACUAAUGUUCGUACAAGUGUUUAAUUGCAUACAUGAUAUGUUUAGCAUUUUGUUAAUGUCAACUAUAAGUCAUUCCAUGUAGCUUCGAGGAGGUUUCUUUGUAGUGAAAAUUAAUGUCUCAUCUUUUAGUGUAUAUAUAAUAGGAGAAUGUUAAGGUGCUCUUUAGGGCAUUGGUUAACCAACCAAAACAAGUAAUUUUUUCACAUAAGAUGUAAAAGAGGCUAUAGAUAUUUUAGGGUUAGAGAUAUUUUAGGGUUUCAUUCCAUGAUAUCUUCCUUUCUUUAUGUAAAAAGGUUAGAGAUAUUUUAGGGUUCUAUAGAGAGAAGAUGUGUAAAUUAAAACCAUAAUUUCCAUCACUUUGUUAUUUAUUUUUGACAGGUUCAUCACAUGUCAUAACCCAUAAUACCAAGGGAAUCUCUUUUUAUAUAUUAUUCUUCAUAGGCCAUAAAUGUCUGAAGGUGCAUAAACAUUAAAAUGGAAAAAAAGUUAAUUAUUGAAACUUUUUGUCGGUUUAACUAUAUAUAACUGUAAUCAUACUUGACUAUGAUUCAAUAUUGAAGGCAAUUACACGUGUUUGUACAAGUGUUUAAUUGCAUGCAUGAUAAGUUUAGCAUUUUUGUCAACUGUAAGUCAUUCCAUGUGCUUUCGAGGAAGUUUCUUUGUAAUGAAAAUUAAUUACUCGUAUUUUAAUGCUAUAUAUAAUAAUAUAGGGUUUUUAUUGUAUUGAUUGUAGAAAUUUGAGGUAAAACAAGUAACAUAAUAUAAAAAAAUGAAGUUGGGUUUGAUAUUCAGUUCCCUUUUAUAUUUUGUGAUUUUAAUGUUAAUGCAAAAUCAAGGAUGUAAGGGAUGCUUAGAGAAGGAGAGAAUAGGGCUGUUGGAGAUCAAGCACUACAUCUUGUCACAACAAGACAAAGGAGAUUCUUAUAAUAACAAAGAAUUGGGUUCAUGGAUUGAUGAUAGAGAUAGCAAUUGUUGUGUUUGGAAUAGAGUCAAGUGCUCUUUUGGUCACAUAGUUGAAUUAUCCAUCUAUAGUUUACUAUAUUUGUUCCCUGAUCCUAAUAUGUUAAAUGUUUCAUUGUUCCGUCCAUUUGAAGAGUUACGUCUCCUCGACUUGUCCAAGAACAAUAUUCAAGGUUGGAUUGACAACGAAGGUACUACUUUGGUCCUUAUAUAAGAGUUCUUUAACAAAUUUAUACAAAUUAGAAAAGUUGGUUAAUUUUUAUUUAUUGUGUUAAAUUUGUUAAAAUUUUAAUUUGGUCUCUAACAUAGUCUCAGAUACUAAUUUUUUAUACAUUCUUUAAUUUUAGGAUCGAGCUCUGUAAUUUUUUAGGCCAAUUGAGUGAUUAAUUUUUCUAUUUUAUUGUUCUCUUUCAUUUAUUAAUUUUUCUAUUUCACGAUUCACUGUUUUUUUUUUCUUCUUUCAUUUUUCAUGACUUUUGUUUCCAUAUUGUAACAAAUUUAAAAAUAAACCAUUGACAUAAACAUUUUUCAUUAAUCAAAAGAUUGUGUAUUCUUAUUUCCAUAUUGACAUAAACAUUUUACGAUGAUUUUAUAAAUUCAAAAGAUUGACUUUUGUUUCCAUAUUGUCAUCUUUCAUAGCUAGCUUCCUCUGUUUCUUUGAAACUAACUUAUUAUGCUUCUUUUGAAGGUUUUCCAGGACUUAAAAGUUGGAGACAUUAGACCUUUCAAAUAACUAUCUAAAUAGUAGCAUCUUAUCAAAUUUGAAUGGAUUAACGGCUCUAACAACUUUGAACCUCGGUUAUAACAAUAUAGAUAAUAACUUCUUCUCUCAAGGUACAAUUUGUUUCUAUAAUUUAGUACUUAUUUAUAAGACUUAGUUAACAAAUUUAAAAUUUUUGUUAAUUUUGAUUUUUUUGUUGUUUUAAAUAUGCUAGCAUUUUAAUAUUAAUUUUAAAAAUUAGAAUUAAUUGACAAUAUAAAAAUAGAUACCGGUAUCUAGUAUAUCAAUAGGUCUUAUUAAAUUUGGUGGGAUUAGUAUAAAUUUCGACCAAUACAAAAACAAGUGUCGUAAAUAGUACAGUAAAUUGUUUUUUUUUUAAGGAAGUACGGUAAAUGUUAUGUCACUAGCAUAAUUAUAAAAUAAUUAAUAUAAGAGAGACAAUUUUAAUGAGGCCUUUUUUUUUUUGUCAAGUAGUCUAGUGUUAGAGCUCACACAAUUUAAUUGUGGAGAAGUGGAGUGUCCGGGGUUCGAACCCCGGCUCCUGCAUAUAAUAUGCAAUAUCCUUACCAACUGAGUUAAGUUCACGGGGAUUUAAUGAGGUCUUUUAUAAAGGGAGAAAUAUAUAAAUGUUUCCAUAAAUGUAACUUAAUUGAUCGGAACAUUGCAAUAUGUUAUGGUCGGUGUUUGAAUCCUUAUUCUUCAUUUAUUUACUACAAGAGAUGAAUUUAAUAAAUUACUUGACAAAAAAAAUAAAUAAAUUGUUAAUAUGUCACACGCACUUAGUCAUUAAUUUUAUUAUUUUUGACAAAUAGUCAUUAAAACUCAUGGAACCCACGUUCAUGAAGUUUUUUUUUUAAAGAGGUUCACUGGUUGAUUUAGGUGUUAGACUAUUUUCUUCUUAAAUUAACAAUAACUGAAAUUAAUCUGUGAAAUGAAUUUUUUUUUUAAGUCACCAUUGUUUUUUAUUGACCAAUUCGGUCUUUAAGAUAGUCUCAGAUAUUGAUUGAUACAAGGAAAGUAUUUUUAAUUUUAUAAUGAUUUCAUAAAUUCUUUAAUUUUAGGAUCGACUUAUGUAAUUUUUUUAGUACAAAUUGAGUGGUUUGUUUUUCUAUUUCACAUGGCUAACUGUAUUUUCCCUUCAUUUUUCGUGACUUUUAUUUCUCUUUUGCAACAAGUGCUGAAAUAAACUGUUAACAAGAAACUGUUUUCAUUAAUCAUGUUUCUUUUGAAGGGUUUCCUAGACUUAAAAGAUUGGAGACAUUAGAUCUUUCAGGGAACUAUCUAAAUAGUAGCAUUUUGCCAAGUUUAAAUGGAUUGACUGCUCUAACAACUUUGAAGUUGGGUUCUAAUUUGAUGAAAAACUUCUCUGCUCAAGGUACGUUUUGUUUCAAUAAUUUAUUUAUGGAGUUUAUGUGAUGAAGUGAAUGAAUUAAGAAGACAAUUAUAAGAUCCCCAAGAAAAUAUUAAUUUUUAACGAUAAUAAGAAACUUUAAAUAAAAUGAAAAACUGGUUAUGAAUCAUUGGUAGGAAUUGAAAUUAAUUAACAAAAGCUUUUCAUUAGGAGGAAAGAAAUCGGAAUAAAAAGUGAAUGCAAUACUUGUUUGCACACUUAAAACUACUCAUCAUUAUGUAUAUUGUUCAAGGAUUUUCGAGAUCAAAGGAGUUGGAAGUCUUAGACCUUUCAGGAAAUAGGCUGAAUUGCAACAUCAUAUCAAGUUUGCAUGGAUUCACAUCAUUAAGGAGUUUGAUUCUAAGUGAUAACAAGUUCAAUUGUUCUUUCUCCACUUUCGGUACACAUCUUCAAUUCUUAUAUUAUGAUGAAUGUUUUUAUUUUCAUUUUUUAAAAAGAACUAUAUUAUGUCCUUGCUACAGAUUUUGCCAAAUUUAGUCGGCUAGAACUAUUGGACUUGAGUAUCAAUGGAUUUGGUGGUUCUCUACAUGUGGAAGGUACCUGUACUAUUAUUAUUGUUGUUUGUUAUUUUUUUGGGCACAGCAGAUAUAUAAUGUCACUCUCCACACAAUACUCUUUAGACACUGUGGAGCCUUGAGCUUCCAUAAAUUUUUCCACAAACCUGCAUUCUCAUCCAAAGGUGGUUAUGGACUUUGACUAGCCAUUUCCUCUUUGACGCGAUAGGUUGCCGACUUCAAUGAGUAAAUGCCAUCUUUAUCAUAUUCCCAUACCAAUUUCUCAUCUAGGAUUCUCCAAGAAUUUGAGAUUUCAUCUUCUUGUUUUGUCAUAUGCACCACUUCAUUCCCAAAUAUAUUCAUUAAGAUCCUAAUGCAUAAUUUGGUUGGUAACCAAUAUGAGCAAUGAAUUCUCAGUGGAAACUAGUCUUCAACGCUAUUCUCUAACUAUGUACUCUCUUUUUUUCCUGCAGAUGUUCAACAUUUGAAAAACUUGAAAAUGUUAAGUUUAAGAAAUAAUCAAAUGAACGGCUCAAUUGAAGGUAUCAAUACUACCAAACACAAAUAAUUAAUUCAUAAUUGCUUCACGGGAUGGUUUUGGGGAUGGAUUGUUACAAUGAAGAUAACUUUUAUAUUGAUUUUAAAUUUUAAAUAAUUAACAAAAAGAAUGAAAUAAGUUAAUUAAUGUAUAUAUUGACGCCAUUGGAAAAACUUUUAAGAUUUUUAUGAUAAUGUCAAUUUUUGUAUAGAUGACAGGACAUAGUUAAUUAAUUAUGACAGGACUAUGCAAUUUGAAGGAUUUGGUAGAAUUGGAUAUCAGCUAUAACAUGUUUAGUGCUAAACUUCCAGAGUGUUUAAGCAACUUAACAAACCUUAGAGUUCUUGAACUUAGUAAUAAUCUGUUCAGUGGAAAUUUUCCAUCUUUCAUUAGCAAUCUCACAUCACUGGCAUACUUAUCCUUCUAUGGAAAUUACAUGCAAGGAUCAUUUUCAUUGAGCACUUUGGCUAAUCACUCAAAUCUUCAGCAUCUAUAUAUUUCACCGGAAAACAGUGGAGUUCUCAUUGAAACUGAAAAGACAAAGUGGUUUCCCAAAUUUCAAUUGAAGACACUCAUUCUUAGAAAUUGCAACCUAAACAAGGAGAAAGGAGGUGUCAUUCCUACUUUUCUUUCAUAUCAAUAUAAUUUGAUAUUCUUGGACCUCUCCAGAAACAAUUUAGUUGGUUCAUUCCCAAGUUGGUUGAUAGAUAAUCAUAACAUGAAUUAUUUGGAUAUAUCAAACAACAAUUUGAGUGGUUUGCUUCCAAAAGAUAUUGGUAUAUUCCUUCCUAGUGUUAAGUAUUUGAACUUUUCAUGGAAUAGCUUUGAAGGAAAUAUACCUUCAUCAAUUGGUAAGAUGAAACAACUUGAGUACUUGGACCUCUCUCAGAAUCAUUUCUCAGGUGAGUUACCUAAACAACUGGCCACAGGUUGUGAUAAUUUACAAUACUUGAAGCUCUCCAACAACUUUCUACAUGGGAAGAUUCCAAGAUUUUCAGUGAAUAUGUUUGGGUUAUUUCUUAAUAAUAACAACUUUAGUGGAACACUUGAAGAUGUAUUGGAAAACAAUACAGGAUUAGGAAUGUUAUUCAUAUCCAAUUACUCAAUCACAGGCAAAAUUCCUAGUUCAAUUGGGAUGUUUUCUGAUAUGCAAGUCCUUCUUAUGUCCGGAAAUCUAUUAGAAGGUGAGAUCCCUAUUGAGAUUUCCAACAUGGCCAUUCUUCAAAUGUUGGAUCUUUCUCAAAACAAGUUAAAUGGAUCGAUCCCAAAGUUCAGUAGUUUGACAUCUCUAAGGUUCUUGUAUUUGCAAUAGAAUGAUCUCUCUGGAUCAAUACCAUCUGAACUCUCUGAAGGCUCACAACUACAACUUCUAGAUUUAAGGGACAACAAAUUUUCAGGUAAAAUUCCCAAUUGGAUGGAUAAGCUCUCAGAGUUAAGGGUCCUUCUAUUAGGAGGGAACAAUUUUGAAGGAGAUAUUCCAAUUCAAUUGUGUCCUUCUAAAAAAGAUCAACAUAAUGGACUUAUCACGGAACAUGCUCAAUGCUUCAAUACCAUCUUGCUUUCAAAAUAUGUCAUUUGGAAUGAGACAAUAUGUUGAUGCUCACGGUUUUGAAUUCUCAAUGUCCGAAGGUUUCACAGGUGAAUUUAUUCCAAAUUUGAAUUCUUUCUUCAAUGCUAGUUUGUCUAUUGGGCAGUUUUUUAAUGAAAAUUCGUUGGAUGAAGAUCUAGAAUUUGAAGUGCAGUUUAGAACAAAGCACUAUGAUUACUUUUACAAGGGUAUAGUUCUAAAGAUCAUGACUGGAUUGGAUUUAUCAUGCAAUAAGCUAACAGGUGUCAUCCCUUCUCAAAUUGGAGACCUACAACAAAUUAAAGCCUUGAAUCUAUCACAUAAUUACUUGUCUGGUCCUAUUCCAAUAACUUUUUCAAAACUUACCCAAAUAGAGAGCCUUGACUUAUCAUACAAUAACUUGAGUGGUAAGAUUCCUUAUGAACUAACCAAGUUGACCUCUUUAGAAAUCUUCAAUGUGUCAUACAACAACCUUUCUGGAACACCACCUAGCACAAGACAAUUUGCAAACUUUGAUGAGUACAACUACAGAGGUAAUCCCGGUCUUUGCGGACAACUCCUAAAUCAAAAGUGUGAACGUGUCGAGUCUUCACCUUCAUCACAAUCCAAUGACAAUGGAGAAAAGCAAACCAUGGUGGACAUGAUAACAUUUUAUUGGAGUUUCAUAACAUCUUAUAUUACAAUACUAUUGGCCUUCAUAACUGUGUUGGGCAUCAAUCCACGUUGGCGUAUGGCCUGGUUUUAUUACAUCAGUAAGUUUAUGCGUAGAUUCUUUCCAUCUUUUCCAUUAUAUUGAUGAGUGUCCAUAGUUCCUGUUGAAACUUUAUGUGGAGUCUAAAAUAUUUGGAUACUGUAUUUUUUAUAUUUACCGUUAAUUCCAGACAGUUUGAGACAUUGGCUUUUAAGCUCCUCUUGUCAACUUUAUGUUCAUCAUGUUGUUUGUGUGAUGUACUUAUCUGGAGAACUUUGAAGAUAUUGUGAUAUAUUAUUUUUGAAGAUCCAAGAGUUCCUCAAAUAGCUCUGAGACCUGUUUCAAAGAUCCAUCAAAUGACGUUCUGCAGCCAUUGACCCGGCAGCAGCCAUUGAUUCUGUGACAGGCCCUAUGCUAGAGUAUUAUUGAAAAGACGAAAAGAAAACGAGCAAAAACUGUUUUUUACUCGAGAGCAUGCUCUGUCGAUGGAAUCAUUCCCUUCUAGAGAGCCUUGUGUACAAUACUAACUCCAAUGCCAUUAAUAUUUGCCUUUAGUUUUCUUUUGUCAAUAAUAAUUCUUCAAGCACCAAAUCGGUCCAUGUCUAAGCCACUCAAAUUAAUCACUAACUCUAUUAAUAUUUCAAAUUAUUCAUUUUUUUUAUCAAAAGUUUCUGAACCAGAUCCUUCGACAUGUGACAAAAACAUAAAGAAAAGGUUCUAAUUGACAAACUUUUGACUAAGUGCUUUUGUAAGUAAUUCAUUAUGAGACCCUACGUUUUACAGUUGCUUUCAUAAUGUUAUUGUUUUUUCAUUGAAAGGUUUAGCUCUCGUAUUAACACUUUAGUUGUUUUCUAUAAAAGUAACUUCUUAUAUUUUUCAAAUAACUGGAAUGUCAAUGUAGGUUGAAUCUGGGUGCAGAACUAUGACAGAAGCGAUAUUACGAGUAGAUUUACACAUUUGUCUUAAAAUGACCGAAAUUAAUAAAUAGGUAAGAGUAUAAUAGAAAAAUUAGCAUUAAUGUUUUAUUGUUACUGUAAAACAAUUAUUUUUUUAUUUGUCCUCGUGAGUUUAACUCAGUUGGUAUAGAUAAUGUAUAAUAUAUGUAAGGUCCAGGUUCAAAUCCCAGCCAAAAAAAAAAAAAAAAACAAUUUCUUUUUUCUUUCCUGAAUUAUAAUUUGAGAUGGAGAGAGUAUUAAUUAAACUAGUAAUGUUAACAUACGUAUUUAAUCUUGCAAGAUAACAUUAGCAUCUUUGUCAAAUAUCAUCAUCUCUAGUCAACUCCAAGUCUUUCCUGAGGUUCCAGGAAGUUUCUUGCAAUUAAAAAGUCCCAUCUUUUUUUUUUUAGCAAAGACAAAAUUAAUGCAUUUCAUUCAAAAACAAAAAGUAACAAAGUUGAAGGUACACUAUAAAAAAGAUGGGGGCUAAGAUGAGAUAAGGAAGCUCUAGCUAUACUAUGAGCAACCCUAUUAGCUUGUCUCCUAAUAUACGACACUUUAAAGUCGGUAUUUGUAAACAAGAGACCUCUACAUUGAGAAAUAAUGUCUCCAACUUCAUUGAGGUGAGCGGAGGUAGUGUGAAUGGCAUCAGCAAGGGUCAUACAAUCUGUUUCAAAGCGGACAGUUUGAAAUCCCAAAGAGAUUGCCAAUUUUAUCGCCUCCGACAAUGCAGUAGCUUCAGCUUCUAAAACAGUCAUCGAGGAUGGAAAAAAUGCAGAUUUUGCAAUUAAGAGUUUCCCCUCCGAAUUUUGAAAACAGAUUUCAUAUCCAACAAUUGAUUAUGGUGGAAAAUUGCUGCGUCAACGUUGCAUUUUAUCACACCGGAAGGCGGUUUAACCCAAGAGAUGAUGUGGUUUGAAUUUUGAACCUGUAGUUUAGCUCUUUACAUACAAGUCCAUUCGUGGAGUGUAUCCUUUGCUCGAGUAAUAACAACAGUGGCUGGUGUAUUGGAAGACUCCCAAAGUCCCAUCUUUUAGUAUAAGGUGAAUACAGGAAUUUGGGGCAAGACCGAAAAGUCCCAAUAUAAUUGAUUCUUGCAGGAAAGAAAGACACUUACAAAACUAAAUGAUAUUCACCGUCAAUUUACAGAUUUUUUACACUCGCAAUUGUCAUAUCAUUAAAACCAUUUAACUUCAUUGAUAACUACUUCUAAAAUUACAUAAAUAUGAUUUGAUUGUGAUUUGUUAAUAAUAUAAUAUUUUUAAAUUGACAGUGUAUAUAAAAAAUUAACUAUGGCUACAUCAAGGUUUAUUAUAUCAUAGUUUAAAAAGUGAAUACUUUUUCCUCUCCUCACUGAUUCCAUUUUUUUUCUUCCGAUGUAAGCAUGAAUCGAAAGUUUUCAGUUUGAAGAGAAUAAGAAUUUUGGGGAGUUCUCUGAUUUUCCUUACCCUGUUAGCUCAAUUUCACUGACUUAGAACAUAGAAGAGGAAUGGAAAAUUCAAAUACAAAAUCUAGGCAAUGGCCAGCAUUUUAAGUAUAAUAGAUGGGGAAAAAAAGUAUUUAGAAGGAAAUAAUUAAGAUUUAUUGAUAUUGAAAAAAAAAAUAAGAUUUAUUGAUAUUGUAAAAUGAUAUGUAAAAUGAUAUAUAUAGUUUCUAAACUAAUUCAUAUAGUUACUAUUAUAGUAUUUUUGAAUCCUCAUGAGGACAUUAUUGUUCUUCCUAUCAAUCAAGUUAAGAAAUUAAUUCAUAUUGUUUAAACUCAACACCCUCGAGACUAGGGUUUCUAGUGUCAUAAAGAAUUGACUGAAAAGAGAAAUUUUAUUUGGUUUAAUCGAAAGACUCUAUUAGGACAGUCAUGAUACUAAUUUGCUUAUUAUAACUUUGUAGCUACAUAAGAUGGAUGACAAUACAGUGUUUCUUAAUGACAACAUUAAUGAUACAAUAUGGUGCAACUGAAGAAAACUUUCGUGUCAAUUGAUAUAAAAGUAGAUGAUUUGCAAAAUCAUGUAAUCCACUUAUGAGUUAAGAAAUUUGUCUCUUUAGUGUUACCAUAAAUUUUGAUAAAGUAAUUGUCUCAUUUGGUUUUGAGAUAAUAUUAUGAAGAAUUGUGGAUUUAGUAAGCUCAGUGGGGGUAAACUUAUAUUUCUAGUUUAAUGUGCCGGUUUUAUUUUAUUUAGUCAACUAUGAUAUAUGUUCGUUGUGUGAAACCAAGAAAUCUCUAACAAAAGUUUGGUGAUGAAAGAUCUUAGGGACACCUCUUUUGUUUAAGCAUUUUUGAUACUUAGAGAUACUUCUCAAGGUAUCCUUCAGAUGAUGUCACAAAAGAAUUAUAUCAAUAAAGUUGAAAAUGAAAUGACAUAAUUUUUUGGAUGAUCUCAAUCACCGAGAGAGACUUUUCAGUCUCAAAUAUUGCCCAAUUAAAAAAUUUAUGAAUUCAUAAAUUUAAGUAUUUUCCUACAUUUUACCUAUAGGAUUUUUAUGUAUGAUUUUAUUAUACACAUUUGGAAAUAGCGUAUUUAAUGAGAUUGAAAUAUGAGAGGGGAAAGGAAAAGGUUAGAAGAUGUAGGGUAAAACUGAUUCUCAUUGAUUAACUACAUUGAUACAUGGCAUAUAUAGAGUCGUAUGAAAAGUUAGUUGAUAACAAACUAGCUUACUUGCCAAACAAGUAAGUCCAUAACUAACUAACAGACUAAUGAGAAUAAAACAAUGUUAUAUACCUAACAAUCACUCCCCUUGUUUGAAAAAUACUUCUAGCUUCAAAGGUUUAGUCUUGAUGUCUGCUGGUUGAUUAAUGUUUGAACUAUAAUAAGCAAAUUCCAUAACUCCUUCUUUUGUUAAGACCCUACGAAAAUAUAUGUGAUAUCUAUGUGCUUACAUCUUCCAUGCAUUGAAAGAUUCUUUGACAAUUUUCCUGAUGAAUAUAUGUACUACAGAUCAGGGCUGGCCAUGGACCUGUGCAAACAGUGCUACGACACAGGACUUCAAAGUUUUGAGGGCCUAAAUUUUAAAGGUCAAAAUUAUGAGUUAUGAUCUUCUUCAUUUUCCUUAUUUAUUACUAUAGCUUUGAAGAUUUUUAAAGUAUAUAUUAAAUAAUAGAAAAUGUUACGAAUGUCCACGAAAUAUUCUUUAAAGUCUUUAAAUUUGUGUAUUCAAUUAUGGUUUGAAAUUAAAGUAUUUUAUUUUCUAAGGAAUAAUUUCUUAAUUUGAUAUUCUUAAUGAGGACCUCGGAGACACUCGUUGGUCGUUAGUAGAACCUUUAAAUAAUUAAGGGCAAAUUACACUCACCUCUCUUGAGGUCUCUUUAAACAACACAUAUACCCCCUCUAGUUUUCAAAAACACUCACCUCCCCUCUAAACUAACUCUGCUAGCCUAAAAUGUUGAUUCUUAACAACCCUGAUUCAUUCCAUUACAGAAAAACUCCACUACAAUGAAAUCUUUAUCUACCGUGUAAAUUUAUAGGUUCGUCACCGGUAUUCAUACAUUCCACCGCUAUGGGCAACUCCAAAUCAAUUUCACCAUUCUCUAAACAAUUCUUAAAAGUAUAUCACUUUUAAAAAAGCGUACCGCACUAGCUAGAUGUACAUAGAAAGCAAGAACCAAUUUUUGACUUCAAGCAGGGCCCAAGUAAAAAGCAAAGCAUUGAAAUCAUUGCAAGAGCAGAAACGACCCUGCCAACAAUCAAGAUUUAAAAAUAAUUGCUGUUUUCUUUAGUGAUUAGUUACAUAAUGGAGUGUAGAAUGGUUACAAUAACAUAGAUUUUCAAAUCACUUAGAAUUUUAUAAUAUAGUUUAGGCACGGUCAUCACAUACCUAAUUAGUGAUUUAAAUUUGAUUUUUUAUAGUGAAAGAAUCUAUGUUUCUUAUGAUUUAUAAUUUUUUAACGAGUAAACAACAAUUUUGUUAUCUGAAUAUGUGACAAAUUAUCACCAUAGUCUUUGAUGUAUCGAAAUUACAAAUGCAUCUUCAAGUGUAUCUUUAAUUAAUCAUUAUCAUCUUCAAACAUAUUUCGUCGUUUAUCAUUUUAGUCCUUAAAAUGUAUCUUUAGUGAUGAUUUAUUAAUAUUAUAAAAUGUGAAAUAACUGGUACAAACUUUUUUACAUCUCAAUCAACCAACAAAUCCGUCCAAAAGUUAGAAUCUCUUCCAUCUCUUAUGACCUUUCUUAAAUUUCCCUCAAAUCACCCCGGUAAUGAUGAUAUAGACCUUAAAUCCCUCCACCAAACUGAACCAAUGUUUCUUACCAAAUUCAAACUAUCAUCAUAUUUGGCGUUUGUCUUUUAGCCCUAUUUUCUAAACAAACAAACAAACAUAAAUAAGUUGUAAAAAAGAGAGAAUUGAACUUAAAAUCUUAAGAUGAGUGUACUUUAUGAUCUCAAAUCAAUACCACGAGACACACUCAAAUGAGUUUCCACUUUCUAUUUCUCAUUGUUUCUAAUCUAUCCAUCCAUGAAGCACAAUACUCCUCGGGUUAAGGGUGUGUCCCGGUGUGAAAUAUGUAUCGUGUCCCACACCAACACCGACACCGACACAUAUCUCCGUGUCGUAACUGCAUCUGAGUUUGUGCUUCACAUCCUUCCAUCAACAUCAAUUCUAAGAGUAUUUUACAGAUCCACAUCCUAUGCAAGAAAUCACCCUUUCAUUGACCUUGCGAGUGUAUAUCCCCUCAAUUCUAUCCCAAAGCUUUAAAACAAUCAAGGAGCUCAAUUAUGCUUUGAGAAGACACUAACUAAUAGUAACUAAGGUCAUGGAAAUGGGAAGUGAAGUCAUUGAAACUCAACAAGACAUCAUUAAGUUGCUCCCACAAUGAAAUUGGAUCAAAUUCAAAACAAUCUCCAUCAUGAUCGUAAUAUGGAAUUAAGGAUGUGAUUUUGUGAUACAAUUUUUUUUGUUUCUUUCUUCAAAUUUACAGUAACUCUUUACAACUAUUACACACAUAUUUAAUAAAAUUUUACAAGCUUGUUGAAUUUCAAAAUUCAGUUUUAAGAUGAAAAUCAUACCCAUGAUAUCAAUAAAACUUCACUCCAAUUCAAAAUUAACUCGAUAUAUACACUUUUGAAAUAUAUAAAAAAUAAAUAAAAACAUCUUAUUGUAAACUUAUUUUUGAUUAAAUCUUAUAAGAUUUUAACAUAAAAAAUCAAUGUAAAUAGUUAUUCUAAAAAUAUCAUAUUAUAUCUAAAAUUUAUACUAUAUAUAAAGAAAACUACCCCUUUCAGCAUUUUAGGGUUGUAUUUUUUCUUCCAAAAAUACCCUAAAUUUUCAAAUACAAAUAACACAUGUAACAAACAAAUAGAUAAAAAUAAAUUUAAUAUUAAAACAAAUAUAACAAACACGAUAUGAAUAUAUAUAUAUCUUUGGUUUUUUUUCUUUUUCAUUUAAUAAGUGUAACAAACUAGAUGAGGAUAUUUAUACUUACUUUUACAUUAUUUCAAUUAAAUCCUCAAACAACUUUUUCUAUAAUAAAUAUUGUUAUUGGUUUCAUUAAAAUAAAAGAAUUUUAGAUUAUAUUUUUUUUGUUAUAUUGUUGGUGUAAUUGAAAUAGAUAAUCAUGGUUAGAUUGCUUUGUUAUAACUUGAAAAUAACAAACAUUUAUAUUUUUAAUUUUAAUCAAAAUAAAAUUUCAUAAAAAACAUCGUUCAUAAUUUUCAAAUGUUAGCGCAAUAAAAAGAGCGGAAAGACAGACAGGUGAGUGCCCGUCUUUUCGCUAGUCAUCAAUAAUGUAAGUGUACUGAAGUUUUAUCCAUUCUCAAGUUAUAUCACUGCCACAAAUUGUUCUAAACAAUUGUUUCAUUUAAUUAAGAAAUGUUAAAUAAGUCCCUUAAUAAAAAAUGAGAAUAUUUAACUGAAAAUUGAUUGGCGGUUUCACUCGCUAUCGGCAUUUGGUGGAACACCUUAAUCUUACUUAUCGGUAGACCUUUCCGUGGUCCAAUUCUUAAUUAAAGUAUCGAUUAUUAGGACUUAAGUCCAUGAGAAGAGCCUCAUGGUUUAAAUGACGCAUCAAGCACUUUGGUCUACUUGAUUUGGGACUCCUAACAUAUUCUUUGCAGCUAUAACAACGUUUCUUCGCAGCUUGAUAAGAUUUUGUGGCGGUAGUUUACGUGAUUUUUUUCUUCGAUAUAUUAAAACGGAAAACAAAGGUAUCAGACACUACCUAUACCUCUUUGCCAUAUCCAUUUUUAUGAUUACUGAUUGUAUUUUUAGAACCUUGGCAACUACUACCUCUGUCGUAAAUUAUAAGUUGUUUUGGUCAUUUCACACGUAUUAAAAAUUGAAAUUAAUUUGUAUAUGAAAGAGAUAUUAUGAGUUGCUUUACACAAUUAUCUUAAUAAAUAGUAUCAGAAAAAUAAAUUAAAGAAUUGAAAUGAGUAAUAUUAAUAAAUAGUUAAGAGUAUAAUAGAAAAAUUAUUACUAAUGUUUUUAUUGUUAUUGUAAAACAAUUUAUAAUUUGAGACAACUUUUUUUCCAUACUUAUAAUUUGAGACAGAGAGAGUAUUAAACUAAUAAUGUUCACAUACGUAUUUAGUCUUGCAAGAUAACAUUAGCAUUUGUCAUAUGUAAUCUUCUCUAGUCAACUUCAAAUCUUUCUUGUGCUUCGAGGAAAUUUUUUGCAAUUGAAAAGUCCCAUCUUUUAGUAUAAUAAUAUAAAGUGAAUACAGGAAUUUGGGGCAAGACUGAAAAGUCCCAAUAUAAUGAUUCUUGCUUGAAAAAAAAGACACUUACAAAACUGAAUGAUAUGUUAUCAUAUUUUUCGGGUAACAUCUUGCAAUUUUUACGAGUUUAAUUUAUAUGUGCCAUCAAUUUAAAGACUUUUUUAUGAUAACUACUUCUAAAAUUAUAGAUAUGAUUGAAUGUGAUUUGUUAAUAAUUUAACUUUUUUUACAUUGACGAUGUAUAUCAAAAUUAACUAUGGCUAUAUCAAGGUUUAUUAUAUCAUAGUUUAAAAAGUGAAUACUUUUUCCUCUCCUCACUGAUUCCUUAUUUUGUCCGAUGUAGGAAGGUCCCGAAAGUUUUCAGUUUGAAGAGAACAAGAAUUUUUGGGAGUUCUGAUUUUCCUUUCCCUAUUAGCUCAGGAAUGGAAAAUUCAUAUAAAAAAUCUAGGCAAUGGCUAAAACAGCAUUUUAAGUAUAAUAGAUGAGGAAAAAAAGCAUAAUAGAAGAAAAAAAAUUAAGAUUUAUUGAUAUUGGAAAAAAUUAAGAUUUAUUGAUAUUGUAAAAUGAUAUAUAAAUGGGAGAAAAAAAGUAAAUUGGGAGAAUUUUACUUCUUAUAACUUUAAUAAUCUUAUUUUAAACUGGUUAAACUUUUCUUAAUGACCGACGUUAGUAUAGUUAAUUACUUACCAUACUAUUUGUUAGAGGGAGGAGUUGAAUAAAUGACCUCUUUACCACUCAAUCCUUAUUGAAAGUAAUACGUAUUUAAAUAUCAUGUAAGAUAAGUUUAGCAUCUUUCUUAAAUGUCAUCAUCUCUAGUCAACUCCAAGUCUUUCUUUUGCUUGGAGGAAGUUUCUUGUAAUAGAAAAUAUCCCAUAAUUUUAGUAUAUAUAAUAUAAUAAUAUGAGAUGAUUAUAUGAGGUCGGGAAGAACUGCUCACAUUCCUAAAAAAAAUGAAGCUGGGUUUGAUAAAUAGUUUCCUUUUAUAUUUUGUGACAUUGAUGUUAAUGCUAACUCAAGGAUGUAACGGUUGCUUAGAGAAAGAGAGAAUAUCAUUGUUGGAGAUCAAACACUACUUCUUGUCACAAACAGGAGAUCCUUACAAUAAAUUGGGUUCAUGGGUUGAUGAUAGAGAUAGCAAUUGUUGUUCUUGGAACAAUGUCAAGUGCUCUAACAUCUCUUCGGGUCACAUAAUUGAAUUAUCCAUCCGAAAGUUACUAUUCGAUAUACCCUUUGAUAUGAAGUUAAAUGUUUCACUAUUCCGUCCAUUUAAAGAGCUACGGCUCCUCGACUUGUCCUACAACUCCUUUCUAGGCUGGAUUGGCAACGAAGGUACUACGUUCGUCCUUAUAUAUAAAAUUUCUUUAAUAAACUUAUACAAAUUAAAAAAGUUCAUUAAUUUUUAUUUGUUGUGUUAAAUUUAUUAACAUUUUAAUUUAUAUUGUCAUAAUUAGCAAUAAUUGACGGGUGAGUUUAAGUUUUCUAAAAAAGAUUGUUAUUUUACAACAUGAAAAUUCAAUGUUCAAAUCUCAAUUAAGAGAGAUGUCAGUACUUUCUAUUUAUUACAAUAUCUUAUAUACGAAUUAAAAAUCAAUGAUCUUAUAAAAUUUGGUGGGAUCAAUAUAAAUUUCAACCAAUACAAACAUAAGUGUUGUAAAUAGUAUAUCACUAGCAUAAUUAAAAAAUACAUAAUACAAGAGAGAAUUUUCUUAUAGGUACAAGAGAGAUAUUUUUACUGAAGCCUUUUAUAGUGUUGUAAAAAGUGUGGUAAAUAGUGUGUUACUAGCAUAAUUAAAAAAAUAUUGUUAUAUUUGUCGUUGUAUCCAUCAAUUUGGUCUCUCUAAGAUAGUCUCAGAUACUAAUUAAAACUAUGAAAGUGUUUAUAAUUUUACGAUGAUUUUAUAAAUUCUUUAAUUUUAGGAUCGAGCUCUGUAAUUUUUUAGGCCAAUUGAGGGAUUAAUUUUUCUAUUUUAUUGUUCUCUUUCAUUUAUUAAUUUUUCUAUUUCAUGGUUCACUGUUUUUUUGUUCUCUUUCAUUUUUCAUGACUUUUGUUUCCAUAUUGUAACAAAUUUAAAAAUAAACCAUUGACAUAAACAUUUUUCAUUAAUCACUGUAUUUUCCCUUCAUUUUUCGUGACUUUUAUUUCUCUUUUGCAACAAAUGCUGAAAUAAACUAUUAACAAGAAACUGUUUUCAUUAAUCAUGUUUCUUUUGAAGGGUUUCCUAGACUUAAAAGAUUGGAGACAUUAGAUCUUUCAGGGAACUAUCUAAAUAGUAGCAUUUUGCCAAGUUUGAAAGGAUUGACUGCUCUGACAACUUUGAAGUUGGUUUCCAAUUCGAUGGAAAACUUCUCUGCUCAAGGUACAUUUUGUUUCAAUAAUUUAUUUAUGGAGUUUAUGUGAUGAAGUGAAUGAAUUAGAAUACAAUUAUAAGAUCCCCAAGAAAAUAUAAUUUUUAACGAUAAUAAGAGACUUUAAAUAAAAUGAAAAAGUGGUUAUGAAUCAUCGGUAGGAAUUGAAAUUAAUUAACAAAAGCUUUUCAUUAUGUAUAUAUAUUGUUGAAGGAUUUUCGAGAUCAAAGGAGUUGGAAGUCUUAGACCUUUCAGGAAAUAGGCUAAAUUGCAACAUAAUAACAAGUUUGCAUGGAUUCACAUCAUUAAGGAGUUUGAUUCUGAGUUACAACAACUUCAAUUGUUCUCUCUCCACUUUAGGUAAACAUCUUCAAUUCUUAUAUUAUGACGAAUGAUUUUAUUAUCAUUUAUUAAAAAGAAAUAAAUUAUGUCCUUGCAACAGAUUUUGCCAAAUUUAGUCGGCUAGAACUAUUGGACUUGGGUGGUAAUCAAUUUACUGGUUCUCUACAUGUUGAAGGUACUUUUACUGUUAUUGUUGUUUCAAAUAUUACAAAGAAACACAAAAUUUAUUAUUACUAUUUAUGGCAAAACAAUUUAUAUAUAGGAAAAUUUCUUCUAUUUGAGAAAUUCAGACUUUGUUUAGGAAUUUAAAAUCCACAUUAUAAAUCAUAUUCUCAAUAGAAACUCUAAGUUAAUGAGUUUACAAUCUCUAAUUAAAUUCAAUAAAAUAAUUCUCCACACAAUUCGCCACAUUAUAAAUCAUAUUCUCAAUAGAGGCUUCCAUAAAUAUUUCCACAAACCUGCAUUCUCAUCCAAAGGUGGUUAUGGACUUUGUCUAGCCAUUUCCUCUUUGACGCGAUAGUAUGCCGACUUCAAUGAGUAAAUGCCAUCGUUAUGCAAAAUUAAGUUCAGGAAAAACGUGAGUAAUUUUGGCAGAAUAAAAAUAACAAAGACAUCAAGCCUCAAUUCUAUCAAUAAUAUAACCUUAUCGUUUAAUGCUAAUACUUUGACACCAAGUCAAACAUAAUCUGUUCUUCAAAAAUAAUAGUCAAACAUAAUUUGAAUUUUUUUUUGGGGAAUAGUUCUUACCGAUUUAUUUAUUGAAAAUUAUAUCUCUAACUAUGUACUCUCUUUUUUUUUCUUCUGCAGAUGUUCAACAUUUGAAAAAUUUGAAAAUGUUAAGUUUAAACGAUAAUCAAAUGAACGGCUCAAUUGAAGGUAUCAAUACUACCAAACACAAAUAAUUAAUUCAUAAUUGCUUCACGGGAUGGUUUUGGGGAUCGAUUGUUACAAUGAAGAUAACUUUUUUUUUUAUUUUAAAUUUUAAAUAAUUAACAAAAACAACGAAAUAAGUUAAUUAAUGUAUAUAUUGACGCCAUUGGAAAAACUUUUAAGAUUUUUAUGAUAAUGUCAAUUUUUGUAAAGAUGACAGGACAUAGUUAAUUAUGACAGGACUAUGCAAUUUUAAGGAUUUGGUAGAACUGGAUAUCAGCAAAAACAUGUUUAGUGCUAAACUUCCAGAUUGUUUAAGCAACUUAACAAACCUCAGAGUUCUUGAACUUAGUAAUAAUCUGUUCAGUGGAAAUUUUCCAUCUUUCAUUAGCAAUCUCACAUCACUGGCAUACUUAUCCUUCUAUGGAAAUUACAUGCAAGGAUCAUUUUCAUUGAGCACUUUGGCUAAUCAUUCCAAUCUUGAGGUUCUAUAUAUUUCAUCAAAAAACAAUAUUGGAGUAGACAUUGAAACUGAAAAAACAAAGUGGUUUCCUAAAUUUCAAUUGAAGUCACUUAUUGUUAGAAAUUGCAACCUAAACAAGGACGAAGGAAGUGUCAUUCCUACUUUUCUUUCAUAUCAAUAUAAUUUGGUAUACUUGGUCCUCUCCAGCAACAAUAUAAAUGGCUCACUCCCAAGUAAUUGGUUGAUACAUAAUGAUGACAUGAUAUAUUUGGAUAUAUCAAACAACAAUUUGAGUGGUUUGCUUCCAAAAGAUAUCGGUAUAUUCCUUCCUAAUGUUACCUAUUUGAACUUUUCAUGGAAUAGCUUUGAAGGAAAUAUACCUUCAUCAAUUGGUAAGAUGAAACAACUUCAACUCUUGGACUUCUCUCAAAAUCAUUUCUCAGGUGAGUUACCUAAACAACUGGCCACAGGUUGUGAUAAUUUACAAUACUUGAAGCUCUCCAACAACUUUCUACAUGGGAACAUUCCAAGAUUUUGUAAUUCAGUGAAUAUGUUUGGGUUAUUUCUUAAUAAUAACAACUUUAGUGGAACACUUGAAGAUGUAUUAGGAAAUAAUACAAGAUUAGAAACGCUGUCCAUAUCCAAUAAUUCAUUCUCAGGCACAAUUCCUAGUUCAAUUGGGAUGUUUUCUAACAUGUGGGCCCUUCUUAUGUCUAAAAAUCAAUUAGAAGGUGAGAUCCCUAUUGAGAUUUCCAGCAUAUGGCGGCUUCAAAUUUUAGAUCUUUCUCAAAACAAGUUAAAUGGAUCAAUCCCACCUUUAAGUGGUUUGACUCUUCUAAGGUUCUUGUAUUUGCAAGAGAAUGGUCUCUCUGGAUCAAUCCCAUAUGAACUCUAUGAAGGCUUCCAACUACAACUUCUAGAUUUGAGGGAGAACAAAUUUUCAGGAAAAAUUCCCAACUGGAUGGAUAAGUUCUCAGAAUUAAGGGUCCUUUUAUUAGGAGGGAACAAUUUUGAAGGAGAAAUUCCAAUGCAGUUGUGUCGGUUAAAAAAGAUCAACAUAAUGGACUUAUCACGAAACAUGCUCAAUGCUUCCAUACCAUCUUGCUUUCGAAAUAUGUUAUUUGGAAUGAGACAAUAUGUUGAUGCUGUUUUUGACCUCUCAUCCAUCUUAUAUGGCCAACAUAUACAAGACACACAUUAUUUCUUCGAUUCUAGUUUGUCGAUUGAUCUUCCAUUGGAAAAAGAUCAAUUGAUUGAAGAUCUACUACAUUUGGAAGUGGAGUUCAGAACAAAGCACUAUGAAUACUUUUACAAGGGUAAAGUUCUAGAGAAUAUGACUGGAUUGGAUUUAUCAUGCAAUAAGCUAACAGGUGUCAUCCCUUCUCAAAUUGGAGACCUACAACAAAUUAGAGCCUUGAAUCUAUCACAUAAUCACUUGUCAGGUCCCAUUCCAAUCACUUUUUCAAAUCUUACCCAAAUAGAGAGUCUUGACUUAUCAUACAAUGACUUGAGUGGUAAGAUACCCAAUGAACUAACCCAGCUAAACUUUUUGUCAACCUUCAAUGUGUCAUACAACAACCUUUCUGGAACACCACCUAGUAUAGGCCAGUUUGCAAACUUUGAUGAGGAUAACUACAGAGGUAAUCCCAGUCUUUGUGGACCACUCCUCAGUCGAAAGUGUGAACGUGUCGAGCCUCCACCAUCAUCCCAAUCCAAUGACAAUGAAGAAGAGGAAACUGGUGUGGACAUGAUAACAUUUUAUUGGAGUUUCACAGCAUCUUACAUAACAAUACUAUUGGCCUUCAUAACAGUGUUGUGCAUCAAUCCACGUUGGCGCAUGGCCUGGUUUUAUUACAUCAGUAAGUUUAUGCGUAGAUUCUUUCCAACUUUUCCAUUGUAUUGAAGAGUGGCCAUAGUUCCUGUUGAAACAUUAUGUGGAGUCUCAAAUAUUUGCAUAUUGUAAUUUUUAUAUUUACCUUUAAUUUCAGACAAUUUGAUGUUCGUUUCCUUUUGUGUUAUGUACUUAUCUGGAGUGCUUUGAAGCUAUUGUUAUAAAUUAUUGUUGUUUUUCCAACAUAUUGAAUCUAUCACAGAAUACCUUCCUUACAAGUUAUGCUUGCAGGGUGUGAAACAGAGGCGCUGUGAUAAAAGGAAACAUAUAUCAUUUGUCUCUAAUUAUAAAGCACUCGUUGGAAAAAUAAUUUCUCAUUAGGAAGAAGUUUUCACGACCUCUUUGCAAGAUUCAUACAGUCACGGUUUAAAAUAACGGUUAAGUCGUGUUAGGAUUUUGCGAUUUUGAUUGUUACGUGUAAGGGUUUGCACAAUUGAGAAUGUGAUAGAUGUCUAAUCUCAAAUUAAUUAUGAAAUCAAAGGUAGAAGUGAUAGAUGAAAACCUAAUUAAAAUUGGUCUUUUUAGUACAUAAAGAAAAAGAUAAAAGAAGAAAGGAGAGAUUUAAGUCAUUACUCUACAUGAGAGUACUAAAGAGAGAGGAGAGAUUUCAACAAUUUUCUUUAUACCUAUUAUUGAUCACCAUUUUCCUACUUAUGUGCGAGAGUUAACUUAAAAUCAAGAUCUGCAGGAAUCAUGACAUGAUUGCUGGGCAACGUGGCACGAUUGGAGAUUUCAAGUUUGAGGCAAAGCUCUGGAAAAAUCGUGGCACGAUGGGAUCACAUCGUGGCACGAUGGUGCGCUGGCAGCGAAAAACAGAAACAUAUUUUUGAGUGCAGAUUUGUUCCAAAUUUUAAGCGAUACUUUUACUAUAAAUAUAGACCUUGUAUCAGAGCAAACUUUGAGAUAGAGGGGGCUGAAACAAGGGUUUAGAAAGGCAACAACAAAACUAGGAUUUGUAUAGAGUUUGUCUCUUUGGAACAAACACUAGGUUUUGAGGGUUGAUUCACUUUGGGAAACACUAUUAGGAUUGAGUCUUUUGGUUACGGGAAGAGAUUGGGGCUUUGUGUAGAAUUAGGCGGGAGACUUAUUCUUGUAACCCAUUGAUUUCUCUUUUGUAACGAUACUCAUCAUAUAGUGGAUUGGAGGGCUGCUCUCUCCCCCAGACUAGGUCAAUUUGGACCGAACUGUGUCAACAAAUUCUUUUGUGUUCUUCUCGCCGUUGUUUUUCUACUUUUGGCUUGUAUUUAAUUGUUCCAUACACUUUGUUUUGGUUGCUUGAUUAUCCAUUGCUCCACACAUCAAGUUAUUAUUGGUGUGAUUUUCAUCGAAUUCACAACAUUAUGCAUAAUCCAAGCUUCCAUGAUUUUUUAAUCACUAGCCACAUGUCCAUUUGCCUCAACCAAUUAUGUUAUGCCGAGUGUAUUUUCUCAUGUUAUUUUCAAUCAUAACAUUGCACAAAUAUUAUUAAAAUUAUUUAUAUUAUCAUAUAAUGUAUAAUAACUUAAUUUCUCAUUGUUUCUUCAUAAUUUCAUUACUAUAAUUCUUUUCAUAAUUUUGUAAUGAAUUUUUUCUUAUAUAAACAAAAUUAACCUCUAAUAAAUUAGGUUGUAAUGUUUUAGAAGAGACAAGACCACAAAAAUUAAAUGAGACAAUAAAUGUAUGUUCCCUACCGUUCGUUGCAGCCGUAACGACGUUUCGUCGUCGCAUAAUAAAAUUUUUCUUUCGUUGUUUAUUUGAUUUUUGUUCGCUAUUGUUAUCGCGAUUUUCGGGUGUCAAGUCAUUAAUUAGGCUUGAACCUUUCAAUCUUUGAUAUUCUCUAUUUUUUCUUGGGAAGGGCAAAAUUGAGAAAAAACCCUUGGAUUCUAAGUUCGGGGGUCGUUUUCACUACGGGAAGGUGUUAGGCACCCGCGGUGACUAUAGUACUCUAUAGGAGCUGUUUUCUUAGUUUAUGUCUACGCUUUAUUUUUAAUGCUGUUUAUGAAAAAGGAAAUUUAUUUAUGUUAAGAAUGGGGGAGAAAGUGUUUGAGGUUUUAUUUUAGUGGACUUGGAGAGGUUUUGACCUCAUGCCUACAUACCCAUUUAAGGGAUCAAACUCCAUGUAGUUCUCUUUCAAAAAUGUUUUUUGUGUGUUUGGUUGAUUUUAGUUUUUGUUGGAAAAUGGUUUUGAAGAAGAGAAAGAGGCCUUAAAGGCAUAAGAGAAGAAAAUGGUGAAUGGUUGGUUCAAUUGUUAUUAAAAAAGUCUAAGUAGGAAUUAGGAUUCAUUUGGAUUUGGUUAAGAAAAUAAAGGAAAAAAUUCAAUGGAGUUUUGACUCCAAGGUUUGUUUGAAAAAAAAAUUGAGUGAUGGAAUUUAUUAUUUAUUUUUUUUUGAAAUUGGCAUUUGUCUAAAAAUCGCGUUUCCUAAGCAUACAUCUAAACGGUAAACAUGCAACGUGUGUGCGUGUCGGUGCUUGUGUCGGUGUACAUCAUUAGAGUCCAUUGUCCUUUACACUUUGCCCUAGUUUACAUGCUAUGGUCUUGCGAGUAAUUAAAAGAAAGCUAAUCUACCUAAAAUUAUUACAAACCCAUUUGAUAUAGAAAUGAAUAGAAAAAAAAAAGCCUAAACUAUGAGAUGGAUGAAAUAUGAAAUGAAAUGGUUAGUAUCAUAAGGCAUAAAAAAUGGUAAAAAGGGUAAACAAAAUUGAAUAGAAUAGCAAAAAAGAAAAGAGCAAUGAAAUGAAAUAAAAUGACAAAAUAUACCUAGAAUUAGGUAUAACACUUAGACAUGCAUAUGGCUUAUAAUUCCCUCAUCAUAGCCAUUUUUAAAAGAGAUUUGAUUUUAAGCUACAAUGUGAGGAUCAUAAGAACACACACAAGCAAAGCAUCAUACCAUAUUCCUAGAGAUAUUUUUACACAUUAUUUAACAUAGUAAAAAAAACAAAAAUAUCACAAAAUAUCAAAAAAUGCACCAAGAACAAAUAGGAAUUUAAUGAGCAAGAAUUGAAAAGAACAAAUGAAGAAAAUAAAUGCAAAAAAUAAGCAAGUAAAUUCUAACAUUUAGAAAAAAAUUAAAAUGAUAGGGAAACAUUUUUAGAAAAUUUUAGGAGCAUAAAAUGCCAAGAAAGUGUAAAAAAAGUAAUUUAAAACACAAUAAAAAAAGCAAUUAAAAAAAAAACUACAGCAGGUUAUAAUCUGGACCGUUGGAUGAAUCCAGAGGUCCAGAUCUAACUCCCAAGAUCUCAUCACAGCCACUGGAUCAAAGAUCCAAGGGUUAAAAAAAACAACAAAAAGAUAGUGUAAAAUUGCAGGAAGCACAAUGACCGUUAGAUCAAAGAUCUAACGGUUCAAACACAAGAUAUACCAUAUUUCACACAGAAGAUCACACACAUGAUUCAAGAUCAAAACACACAGCAGCCAUCAGAUCUUGGAACGAUCCAGAUCUGAUGGUUCACAAUACGAGGGAGCACAGCAAGAGCACGCAUGCGCGCGCGUGCGAACAGAGGAGUAUAAAAAGGAGUUUCAAACAAAAAAAAAAAACAAAAGUUCUCAAAAAUCCUCUCUCUUCUUUGGAUUCUAGAGAGAGAGAGUCUGACCUCUCUCUAGAAUCCGGUCAUCUUCUCCGGCGUAACCAGCUUCUCCGGCGCGGUGGCCGGCCACCGGUAAAUUUUUUUUUGGCUCCGAUUCAAAUUUUUUUUUACAUUUUUUAAACAUCCUUUUUUCUCCUAUGCAUGAAUCUGAGCUUAGUUUUUUGAAAAAGAAUUUCAACCGGAGUAGAUCUGAGUUUGAAGUCGCGGUUUUGAAAAAAAAUUUUAGGUUUGAAAUUUUCUUGACUCAAAUCCUUUUUAUCUUUCUCGAUCUGUAACGAUUCACUUGCGUUGAUGCUUUUCGAGAAAGAAAGAUGAAGUUUACGUGUUUACCUCUGGUUUAGUUGGAGAUUUCGAACUGAGAUCUUUGAGAAACUUGAAUCUUGGUGCUGCUUGUUGAUUUUUGUGUGAAAACCGAAAAUAAAUCGGUGUUCUUGCUGGUUUGAUUCUUUCUUCUUCUUCACCGGUUCAGAUUCCUGUUUCUUUCCUUCUUCUUCUUCACUGAUUCUCUGUGAUCGGUGCUUGAGUUUCCCAAUGGCGAAUUCGCGCCUUGAAUUGCAGAGAAUCCGGUUCAAUGAUGAUGAUUGUUUGAAGAAUCACUGAGAACUGAACGAAUUUAGUUGAAAUUGUUGAUGAAUUGUGAUUCUGGAAUUCUAGGGUUCAUGAAUGUUCUUCAUGUUCUUGAUAGUUUCUGAGUUUUUGAUCUAACUGAAUGGAGAGAGAAACUGUGAUUCUGUUUGUUGAGGUGGCGUGAAUUGUGUGGAUUCCUCUGGAAAUUCUGACACUGUGUUGUAUUUAUAGCUGACAUGUGUACUUGAGAUCUAAUGAAAUGGUGACAUCUGUCUUUUGUGAAGAAGGCUCGGCCUUGGACUGAAUUUUUGACUUAGGGACCUUUCUGCAAAAAGAAAAAUUAAAAGGACUAAUCUGCAAUUAUGAAAAAAGGACUUUAAAAUGCAAUUUGGAAAAGUAUUGGACUAAAAUGCAAUUUUAGAAACUGUUUCAGGGACUAAAAUGCAAUAAUAAUAAAAAAAAUAAAAUUGGACUAAAAUUGGUAAAUUGGACAAAACGUAAAGUGAAACCAAAAAAUAAAAAUCAACAAAAGGACUAAAAUGAACCAGCUACAAAAAUGAGGUAUUUUAAAAUACCUCUCUGCCGAAGUUUUGACAGGAAAAGACCAAAAUGCCCCUAGGGACUAAACUGACUCAAACUGACUCAGAUGCAAUUUUUGAAAUGAUUUUUAAACAAAGACUCAACAAUGAUUUGUACAGACAAAUUGAAAAGACUCAGAGGCAAACACAGGGACUAAAAUGGGUUCCAAUGUAGGAAAUGACCAAAAUACCCUUUUGUAUGAUUUUUGAAAUAAAAUGCAAGAAAAGUAACGCGACGUUUCAGAGAGUUCUUAAAUGACUUGUAAUGUCAGAAAAGACAGAGGCAGUAAAAUACGUUUAAAAGAGAGUAAAGAUUCAGAGUAAAAUAACAGAGAAUUGACAAAUAUCAGUGUUAAAAAAGAAAUUUGAACGAGUAUUUUUAGGUCCAAAAUCAGGGUAUAACAGCUAUGUUAAAACGGAGAAAGGUAUCAGACACAACCUGUACCUUUUUGCGGCGGCCAUUUUCACAGCACAAUCUCACAUCCUUGACAUACUUGAAACUCUGAAAAUCACACGCAAGGACCAUUUUCAGUAAGCACUUUGGCUAAUCACUUCACGCUUCAGGAUCUAUAUAUUUCCUCAGAAAGCAUUGGAGAACACAUUGAAACUUAAAAAACAAAGGAAGAGUCAUUCCUAGUUUUCUUUCAUAUAAUAUAAUUGGUUAAAAUAUGGUUUUGGUCCCUGCAAAUAUGCCUCGUUUUUGGUUUUAGUCCCUAGUAAAAAAAAAAUUUGUUUGUUUUUGGUCCGUGCAAAAUAUUUUGUUUUUGGAAAUAGUCCCUGGGACUAUUUCCAAAAACAAAAUAUUUUACAGGGACCUUUUUCAAAAUCAAAAGAUUUUGCAGGGACUAUUUCUCUAAUAAAUGGGUUCAGUCAUCAUGUGUCACAUGUGCAAAUCAUCACAAAAGUGGAGCCAGAGACCAAAACCAAAAUGAGGCAUAUUUGCAGGGACCAAAAACAACAAAAAUAAUUUGCAAGGACUAAAACCAAAACAAGACAUAUUUGCAGACCUUACCAGAAACAAAAUAGUUGGCUCAUUCCCAAGUUGGUUGAUACAUAAUGAUGAUAUACAAUAUUUGGAUAUAACAAAUAAUAUUUUAGGUGGUUUCCUUCCUUGGUUUAUCUAUUUGAAGUAGUCGUGGAAUAGCUUCGAAGGAGAAUGAUCUCGCUGGAUCUAUACCAUUUGAACUGUCUGGAAGUUCACAGCUGAAACUUUUAGACUUGAGGAGAACAAAUUUUCAGGUAACAUUCCCAACUGGAUGGAUAAUCUUUCAGUGCUCAAUGCAAAAAUUAUCAACAUGAUGGACCUAUCACGGAACAUGCUCAAUGCUUCACUUGGAACGAGACAACAUGAUGUCGAGUACAGUCCUAUGGCAGAAUGAUAUACAUUUGGAAGUAGAGUUCAGAACAAAGCACAAUCAAUGAUUACUUUUACAAAGGUAAAGUCCUAGAAGAUCUAAUUUACUCUAUUUGAGUAUACAUUUGUCAUAGAAGAUCACAAGGCGUGCAGACUUAGCAAUAUUAAACACUGCUUAUGAACUUAAUAUCAGACAUAUCUUUAUGCAUAUAAACAUUAUUUUUAUUCGUAUAGUCCUAAUGUAAGGAAAAAUGUGUAUGUAAUGUUUAUUAAAAUUCUGAUCGUGUUUCUAAGUUUAAACACCAUAAUUCGUGCCAUAUAUAUAGUUUGCACAUUGAUUCCCCUCUCUAAGAGUGUGAGAAACCGUUACAUUGAUUUGUUGAAGCAUUUGUUUUAUGUCUUGUAUGAUAACAGCAUAGAUAUGGAACCUCUCAAUGGGGCCAUAUAUAAGGUUGAUGCAAGCAAGAGAAUCAGAAUAGCAAGAAAGUUCUGCAUAUCCCAAAUCCUUUGCCAUGAUCAGCCCGUGAUAGAUAGCAGAAAGAUCACCUAGCAAGAUGUCAUCUGAACCUGGAAUCCAACUAGAGAAGCCUGAAAGGAAUAUACCUGCAUGAGUACGCAAGACUCCACCAAACCCGGUUUUGAUAGGAGAACCGUGGCAACUUCCAUCCACAUUAAGAAUAGCACCUGAAAAAUUGUUAUUAUUUCCAUCUAAUGUACCUGUUAGUUGUAAAAGCAGAAGCAGAAGGUGAAUAGUUGAUUACAAUGCUUUCAAUCGAAUUUUUGAUCUUACAAGCCAGGCGAUGUAAAGACCAAGUUUCACCACCCAAACACAUAAGGUUUCGAUGUCGCCAAGACCACCAAACUCCGACAUAAAAAGUGAUAGCAUGGGAACCCUUAGUUCCCCCUUUUAGUUGUUAAUGUUAAAUGAGUUUGAAUUUCAUCCCAAAAGUUAUCUUAAAGAUAAAGUGUUAAAAAAUUCACUUUUAAGAUGUGAACUUAAGUUAUGUUUGAAAUUUGAUUUCUUCGGUUGUGGGAGUUUGACUUUCAUUUAGGUGUUGAAUUUGGUUUUAGUGGUUAGCUUUCUUAUUGGUGUCGGUGAUAGCAAUCAGUUAGGGGUGUUUAUAUUUGUGUUUUUAUAAUUUUAUUUUAGGUGUUCAACCUAGAUAUGACAACAUAGUUUUAUUGUUUAUGUUUAGUCGAUUUUUGUUCAUCUUGUGCAAUACCGAUUGCACCAACUAAAAUACUCACAAUCAUAGCGGCCGUAGCAACAAUUUAAAAUCAUAAUUUACAUCACAUUGUCAUUUAUUUUUGACAAGUCCAUCACAUUAUCAUAACACCAAUAAAAUAAAUAUUUAUGUACUAUUCUUUGGUACACCAUAAACACGUGAAGGUACAAAAAUAUUAAACUGGAAAAAAAUGAAUAUUGAAACUUUCCAACGGUUUAGAUAUAAAUGUAACGUUAUUUGACUAUGAAUAAAUGUUGAAAGCAACUAUAUUAAACUAAUAUGUUCAAACAAGUGAUUAAUUGCAUGCAAGAUAAGUUUACCAUUUUUGUCAAAUAUCAAUUCUAUGUCUUUCUUGUGCUUCGUGGAAGUUUCUUUAGAAUAAAAACAUGUCUCAUCUGUUAGUGCUAUAUAUAAUAAUAUAAGGGGAUUGAUUGAUUACACAAUAUACAUACAUUUCUAAAAAAUGAAGUUGGGUUUGAUAAUUAGUUCCCUUUUUUAUUUUAUGACAUUGAUGUUAAUACAAAAUGAAGGAUGUAACGGUUGUGUAGAGAAUGAGAGAAUGGGGUUGUUAGAGAUCAAGAAGUACAUAGUGUCACAAGUAGAAUAUUAUAAUAAAGAAUUGAGUUCAUGGGUUGAUGAUAGAGAUCAUAGCAAUUGUUGUUCUUGGAAAAGAGUCAAGUGCUCUAACUUUUCUUCUGGUCACAUAACUAAACUAUCCAUUCAAGGAUUACUAUUUGCGACCCCUCAUCCAAAUAUGUUAAAUAUUUCACUGUUCCGUCCAUUUGAAGAGUUACGUCUUCUCGAUUUGUCCUUGAACGGGUUUCGAGGUUGGAUUGGCAACAAAGGUACUAUAAAAGUUGGUUAAUUUUGAUUUCUUGCGUUAAAUCUAUUUUCAUUAGCUAGUAUUUAUGAUAUCUUGCAUCCGAGUUCAAACUUCUCAUAGCUUACUUUGCAUUUUUUUUUAAAGGUUUUCCUAGACUAAAAAAGUUGGAGACAUUAGACCUUACAAACAACAAUCUAAAAGGCAGCAUCUUGUCAAGUUUGAAUGGAUUAACUGCUCUAAAAACUUUGAAGCUCAGUUAUAAUUCGAUAUAUAAUAACUACCCCACUCAAGGUACGUUAAGUUUUUGUAAUUUGUUUAGGCUUAAUUGCACUUUUCCUCCCUAUCUUUUGUUAAUUUGGCGAUUUUGCACCCCAUCUUUUGCCAAUUUUAUUUUGUUCAAAAUCAUCAUUAAAAGAGAGGAAAAUGGGCUAAAGAUAGGGUGCAAAAUCGCUCAGAAAAAAAGAGGGAGUGCAAAAUCGCACAAUUAGCAAAAAGAUAGGGGGAAGAAGUGCAAUUGAACACAAAGAUGGGGUGCAAAAUCAGAAAGGGGGCAAAAAGAUAGGGUGCAAAAUCGCACAAUUAAAAAAGAUAAGGGGGAAAAGUGCAAUUAAGCCAUUUGUUUAUGUGUCCGUAUUAGAGACUAUAUUUAUCUCAUUGAUUAGUUAGUGAUAUUUAACCAUAGUUAGACAUUAGUUUAGAGAUAGUGUUAGUAUACAAUUACUGAUUCUUCUUCUGUUAUAACCAUGUUUGGUUAAACUCAUGUAUAUAUACUUUGUUUCUAAUCAAUGAAAGUAAGCUCAUUUUCUAUCAUUCACAUCGCCACUCUAGGAUGACCUUGAGUAUUCUUCCCACCGUCUUUCCAAGCUGAUGUUGAGUGUUUACUGUCUAUCAGACUACCACCGAUCUACAAGGAAUCAUUACCUAGGUGAGAAACGUCACCUUCCUCAUCCCCCUAACAUGACACCAUCAGAUCACCCGCAUCCUCAUAAUGCUCAAAGACAACUUGCGUAGAGUUUUUAUUGUUCUCCGUCCAAUCCCUCUUGAAGUGACCCAUCUUGUGACACUUAUAGCACUUAUACUUUGUCUUGUUACCACUGUUUUAGCUUCCUCAGUUACCUCUACCUCCGUCAUUCCCUCUUGAAACGCUUAGGCCUUCACUAUUUUUCAUUCGCUCUCAAGUCCUUGGACUUGGUCAACUUCUUGGUUCUUAAAGCUGCUUGGACUUCCUCCAAGGUGAUAGUGUCUUCUUUUCCAUAGAGGAUGGUAUCCUGGAAGGAUUCAAAUGAUCUUGGUAGAGCACACAACAAGAGUAUAGCCUUGUCUUCAUCCUUAAGAUGCACCUCAAUGUUCUCUAAAUCAUAAAGGAUUUUGUUGAACGUCGUUAGUUGCUCCAUUACGGUCUUUAACCUCACUAUCUUAAAUGAGUAGAUUUGUUGAUUUAGGAUUUGUCUAUGAGCCAAAGACUUUGUCAUAUACAAAGACUCCAACUUUGCCCAUGCCGAUGUUGCGGUACGUUCCUUCACAACAUCCCUCAACACUUUAUCCCCGAGGCACAAUACAAUAGCACUCAUUCCUUUGUCCACCAUCUCGGCCUUCUCCUCUUGUGACAUGGUGAUCGGUAACGCUCUUUCGCCCUUCAAAGUUUUCUCACACUUUUGUUCUAUCAAAACCGCUUGCAUCAUCACCUUCAUGUUGCGGUACGUUCCUUCACAACAUCCCUCAACACUUUAUCCAUGAGGCACAAUACAAUAGCACUCUUUGCUUUAUCCACUAUCUCGGUCUUCUCCACUUAUGACAUUGUGUCCAGUAAUGCACCUUCACCCUUCAAAGCUUUCUCACACUUAUGUUGUAUCAAAACUGCUUGCAUCUUCAAUUUCCAUAACUCAAAAUCGUUACUUCCAGUGAACUUCUGAAUAUCUUACUUUGAACCCAUGGUACUCACUUAACCAAUUCACUACUUUGCGCCCCAAUGGGCGCCAAUUGUUGUUAAUGCAGACUCAAAAUCACACCAAUAUAAAUAUGGUGUGUGGAGCAAAGGAAAGUAGUAAUUGAUAUCAAAGUAACCUCAAGCAACAACAAUAUCAAACCUAGAUCUAAUUUAGGAAUCAAGUGAAAAGCACAAAACCACAUGCAACAGAUAAAUAGAGAAGAGAAACAAAUACACACCAAUAAAUGUUUACCCAAUUCAGUCCAAAUUGACCUACUCUGGGAGAGAGAUUGAUCUUUCCAAUCCACUAUCAAUGAGUUCUUACAAAUAGAUAUACAAGGGUUGCAAUAAAUUAGCUUCAACAAGUUCACAAAGAACAAACCCUAAUUUCUACCCUUUUUCCAAUCACUCCAAUGAACAAGUCACUAAAUGAUUUUCACUCACCCAAGGUGUUUACAAAUGUUUCCCAAUCCAAGAGAACCCUCACCAAAGACCCGCAACCCUAUAGUUACCUCCUUUGAUUUUCCAAAUUUCUCUCUCUUCACUUUUCACAAAUUUCAUUUUUUAGUCAAAAUUGCUACACAUUUGUUCAAAACUAGUUUCAAAUAGUUUGCUAAAGAGCAAUGAUAUUUGUACAUCCAUUCCAUGACAACUUUAGUGACAACCUUGUUUUUCUCUCUUCUUAUUGGUCAAAAACAAUGGAGAGAGAAAAAGGAAGAGAGAGGAUAAAAUCAUAAUGUGAGUAUGAGAGAGAAAGUUGUACAAAAGUUGUCACAAAUUGGUUGUACAAAUAUCAUUUCUCUUUGCUAAAAAAUUCACAUGUAUUGUCUCUCACAUGGAGUGGUACAAUAUGUGUAUGAAAAAAAGUGUGUACAUAAAACAUUAUCCUUUUAUAAAUCACAAUACAUAAAGCAAUAUGCCUUUUAUCCUUCAUUGAAACUUGGGAGUCACCCUUUGAUAUCAAUUCAAUAUUAGUCAUAUUCAUGUUUGAAGGAAAAGUACCAGUCGAAAGCCAUACACAACAUUGAGAAAUUUUUUUUUGACCACAUAUAAGCCACUCAAACCUUCUACCACCAAGAGUAAAAGAAAUAGAGUCAAGGGAUCCACUUGUUUAAGAUCCUUUGUAUGGACACUUUUUCGUUCAGAACUAGUUAACAAGGACCAAAAUAUUUGUCGCAAAACCCAAAUCUCUUCAACAUGUAGUUUAAGAAACACCAACUAACAAAAUCAUUCUUUUUCUCAAAGUCGACCUUAAAAAUCCAGCACCCCCUUCUUUGAUCUAUUGGUUAAGUAAUUUAUGUUUUUCCUUUUUUUUUAAUAGUAGAUUUAUGUUUUUUUUUCCUAAAACUCUAAAAAUUAAAUGCAAUCUAUCUACUAUCAACAUGCAAGGGCUGAAGAUCAGGCUGCCUUUUAUUAUUGAAAAAAAGGGAUCAAAUAUCCAUUGAAGUUAAAUAUUUUUAUUUGAUAGUACGAGAUUAAAAAUAUAUCUAAUACUAAUUUUUAUAGAAUUUAAAAACCGUUUGAUACUUUUGAAGGUUUUCCUAGACUUAAAAAGUUGGAGACAUUAGACCUUUCAUGGAAUGGUAUAGAAAGUAGCAUCUUACCAAGUUUGAAUGGAUUAGCUGCUCUCAAAACUCUGAAUCUCAGUUAUAAUUCUAUGCGAAACUUCUCCCCUCAAGGUAUGUUCGUUUUCUAUAAUUUAUUUACUACAUUAUCUGUUGAUGGAAAUUUUGUAUGUUUAGUUGUAGUUUUGAUGUCUUAUAUUACUCAUGGAUUCAAUGUAUAUUUUCAAAAUUGUACCGAUUGACUGAUGUGUUUUGGUUGUUUACUUUAAUCAAAGAGACUACUUUUUCCAUCAUUAGAGGAAUUAGUAUUUAAAUCUGAACUAAGAGAGAGAGGUGUCCAUCAAAACUAUUUCUCCAUUCAAACAAAAAAAGAAGAGAAGUGUCCGUAUUUAAUACUGUUCAGGACUGCUCAAAGGACUUGCUUUAAGCAGUCUAAGAGAGAGAGAGGUGUCCAUCAAAACUAUUUCUCCAUUCAAACAAAAAAAGAAGAGAAGUGUCCGUAUUUAAUACUGUUCAGGACUGCUCAAAGGACUUGCUUUAAGCAGUCUAAGAGAGAGAGAGGUGUCCAUCAAAACUAUUUCUCACAUCACUAGGGAGGUGUUCUUGCAAGCAUGCCACCAACAUGCUCACAGGACGUUGUUCUUCUGAUUAGGUAAGAUUAGUGGCCCUGUAUGUGGAAAUUUAGAUUUCCCCAUCUUUUUAUUUUUAAAUAAAGAUUCUCGAAAUGUCCUAAUCAGAGCAUAAUACUAGACUCCAAGCAACAAGAAAAAUCGAGGAAGCGCCACGUUAAGCCUUGGGUAGUCACGCUGUCUCAAGCGUCCUAAUCAUGUAUGUCUACACCAUUUUUCAAUGGCGAGGCGGUCAACCAAACAAUCAUUGGGGGUAAGAUAACGUCCAAGUGUACAAAUAUCACCAAGCAAUUAUAUCAAGUUCACAACAUCACAUCAAUUCACAUAAAUCACCAAGGUCACAUAAUCAAUUAUGAGACAUUUCACAUGAUUCAUAUGCAUGUAAUUUUCUAGACACGACUCUUCAUGCAUGUGGUACCAUUUGGAUAUCAGAUUUAUUUUACCAAUUGAUCCGCUAUCGACAAUAAUCAUCACCAAUUUUCCAUCAACAAUAGCCAUCAACAAUAGGACUUGAUCAUGUAUGCAUGAACAUAUGACUUAACAUCGCAUAUAUUCAUAAACUAUAAAGCAAGUCAUCAACCAUCAACAAUUUUCCUCUUAAAAAAAAAAAACCAUCAACAAUAUUCAUCACUGAUUUUCAUCAACCAUAUUCAUCAACAAUAUAUACAUAUAUACAUCACUAAAUCAUACAUAUGCAUACACACCAUCAUGAACUUAUUAUCAUUAAGAAAUCAUCUUCAGCAAAAUUAUCAUCACCAUUUAUCACAACAAGAACAACGAUCACUCAAUUAGCAAUUAUCUCAUUCUAUACGAACAACCAAUUUCUCCAAGUUAACUCACUUUUCAUGAAUACAUGUCAUCACUAAAACGAUCAUAAAAAAUCACCUAGAUAGUAAUUCAUAAUCAUUUACAUGUUAGCUUGGUAUAAUUCAUCAGUUGCCAAAGCCCGUCUAGUCAUACUUUUAUCAAAGUUCGUCUAUUUUUCACCAUUUCGUACAUACAAUCAAUUUCAAUCCAAAGCCAAGUUAAAUCAAGCUUAGGUACUUAACUAUACAUCAAUUCAUUAGGUUUAGGUGUUUGGGAUCUAUUAAAAUGCGUUUCGACCUUAAAAAUACACAAGAUUUGGAGUUCUAGGACCCUGCAGAGGCCGCACGGUCGUGCCCUCUACACGCACGGUCGUGCUGACCAAGUGCCAGAGAGACGCACAAUCAUGCACGACUAUACCAGCACAAGAUUUUCUAUAAAAGUUGUUUCAUGUGCAGGACUUUGUUUUCAAAACCGUUUUUCGAUCCAUUUCGCGUCAAACAACCACAAUCACUUAAACUACUCAUGUCCUACUUUAUAACAUAAUUUUCAUCUCAAAACAACUUAAGUUUAAUUACCAAAACAUCACUUAUUUCACAUAAGUACUUAAAACGAUUUUUGACUUAAAAACCCACUUUUAUUCAAUUCAAUUCCACAUAUAUCAGUUUUCACAACCAACAACAUACUCAUAAUGCAUGUAGUUAUGAAGUUACAAUCAAUCGUUCUUUUGAAUCAAACUUCUAUGCCUUUUCCUUAAACUCUUUUAGAAACUAUUUAAAGAUCAUUUUUGAAUCUUUAUAUCUUGUAGUCUUUAAUGAAUCAAUGAAAAAAUUGGUUAAAGGUUCAUUAUCAAUAUGAUUUACCUGAGAACAGAGAUGGUCGAGAUUAGUAUCAUAAAACUGGAGGAAUAGAAUCAAUGAACAAUGUAUUGUUCAAAAUAAAGUUUUAGUUGAAUAUGAUUCAUAUGAAGAAAAAAAAAAUUAAUUAAUUCUUUCAAAAAAACAAGAACAAGAAGUUAUGUAACAAGAUACUCAAGGUAUGUAACAAAACUCAAUUUGUGUUUUGUCACAUGACUUUAAGAGUUAUGUUGUGUACCUUUCAACUACUAAUCUUUUCUUCCUCGAAUCUUUAAGACUUUGUUGAAAACCACAGUUCAUCUUCUUGUUGAAUCUUCAAUCUACACUCUUUUGAUUCAAUUAAAUUUUUUCUAUAUCUUCUUUGAGUUUGUGAUGCUACUAUUUUGGUAUUCUUCCACAAAGUAUAUAUAUGCACUUGUAAGAGACUUUUUUCUGGUUUACUUAUGUGAAAAGACUUAAGUGCAAACAUCAGUAGAUCAUUAUUCAUAAAACUUAGCGUUUAUUCCGUAAUGUUUGUUAUCAUUAAAACAUUCAUAAAAAAAAAAUUUGCUUCAAUAACUCAUUCUUACAAAACCGGAUUGUAAGGUGAGGAUUGUCUAUUCUUUAUAAACUCUUAUUAAGAGUCUUACCUAUCUGAUGUGAAACUAAAUCCACUACUCCAUCAAAACCAACCCAAGGCAGCUUAAAUUUCGCAAUUAGGCGACUAGAGGCGGACCACAGUAAUGACGGAAUUUCCUACUAAAUCAGAAGAUUGUUUUUGAAGCUAGGCUGAGACCAUAGAGGAUGAAUCUAGCUCAAUACAUAAGUUAAGUCAAUGAUUAACAGAUGCCGGUUCAAUAGCUCUCAACUCCAGGAAGUCUAGCAUGAAAAGAAGACGUGACACCAAGAUUGGAUUAUUCUUAAAAGCCCCAUCAAUUAUUUUAUUUUUUUAAGGGGAGCCCUAUCGAUAUUACUUCUUUGAUAAUAGGAGCUUUAGAAUGAUGAAUAUCAACUUUUAAGCUUUCGAGAAUGAGGAAGUCACUGAUAGAGUUGGUUGAAUCCUUAGUUUUAUUUCCUAAAGGGAAUCAUUUGGAAUGAAGGGAGAAAUUGUUGAUUUCCUAGGAAUAACUCUAUUGUUAAAUCUAGCUUGAUUUGUGGAAAACCAAAUAGAGUUGAUGAUGUUUAUUAGAGCAAUUUUCUUUUUUAAAGGAAUUUAUUAUAGCAGUUGUGAUCUCAGUUUAUUGAAAACUAUAUCUCUAACAUACAUUUGUUUUUCUUUUUUACCGCAGAUGUUCAACAUUUGAGAAACUUGAAAAUGCUAAGUUUAUGCAACAAUCAAAUGAACGGCUCACUUGAAGGUAUUAAUAUUACCAAACACAAAUAAUGAAAUUAUUGGUUUGAUUUGUAAAAUAUAUUCUUUCAUGUACACAAUAAAUAUCAAGGUGUUCUAUACCACAUACAAUUUUUGAGUCUUUUUUAUUGAGAUUUGUGGUCUAAUGUUAUAUUAUUUAUUUAUCGAAAUAUUUUAACAUAUUUUUUUUAAAAAGAAUCAAAAUAUUUUAACAUUGAAUGUGAACAAAAAAUUAUUAAUUACAAACGGUGACAGUUCGACAAUUUAUAUAGAUAUGUGUUUAUUUAGACUUAAAUCUAAAAUUAUAGGAUCCAUAUUCAAUAUCUAAAAUUAAGAAAUUCUAAAUCCAAGGAAAAAAGAAGAAAAAAACAAAAUAAACAAACUGCAGGAAAAGCCGCAGGAAAUGACUUUAGAAAAACCGCAGUAAAAUCCGCAGCAAUACCUGUGGAAUUUCCUAAGGAAACGUUCAAAUAAUAUUCGUCAAUGGUUCUGCAGAUAGAAGUUACCUGCAGAUUUUCCUGCGGUAUCUGGAUUCGCAGGAAAUUUGAUAUGACUAACGUUAUCCGCAGCAAAAUCCUCAGGUAUUCCUGCGGAUUUGUUACCGCAUGAAAAGCCGCAGGAAACUGGACAAAAUAAUAGCAUGAUUUCAUAAUUGCUUCAGGGAAUACUGGGAAGAAUAAAUUAUUACAAUAAAUAUACAUAGCUUUCUAACUUAUUUUAACUUUUAAGUAAGAUACAAAUCAAACAAAUCAAAUCUCCACAACUUUGCAUUCAUAGAAGUAUAUAUAUGCUUUACAAUAACAAUAUAUAUGCUUAAACAUAUGACAGGACUAUGCAAAUUGAAGGAUUUGGUAGAGCUAGAUAUCAGCUAUAACAUGUUUAGCGCGCAACUUCCCGAGUGUUUAAGCAACUUAACAAACCUGAAUGUUCUUGAACUUAGCUAUAAUUUGUUCAGUGGAAAUUUUCCAUCCUUCAUUAGUAAUCUCACAUCACUGGCAUACUUAUCCCUCUUUGGAAAUUACAUGCAAGGAUCAUUUUCAUUGAGCACUUUGGCUAAUCACUCCAAUCUCCAGCAUCUAUAUAUUUCAUCACAAAGCAUUGGUGCAAACAUUGAAACUGAAAAGACAAAGUGGUUACCCAAAUUUCAAUUGAAGACACUCAUUCUUAGAAAUUGCAACUUAAACAAGGACAAAGGAAGUGUCAUUCCUACUUUUCUUUCAUAUCAAUAUAGUUUGAUAUUGAUGGACCUAUCCAGCAACAAAUUGGUUGGUUUAUUCCCAAGAUGGUUCAUACAUUCUUCUAUGAAAUAUUUGGAUAUAUCAAUCAACAGUUUAAGUGGUUUUCUUCCAAAAGAUAUUGGUAUAUUCCUUCCUAGUGUUACCUAUAUGAAUUUUUCAUCAAAUAACUUUGAAGGAAAUAUACCUUCAUCAAUUGGUAAGAUGAAAAAACUUGAGUCCUUGGACCUCUCUCAUAAUCAUUUCUCAGGUGAGUUACCUAAACAACUGGCCACAGGUUGUGAUAAUUUACAAUACUUGAAGCUCUCCAACAACUUUCUACAUGGGAACAUUCCUAAAUUUUAUAAUUCCAUGAAUGUGGAAUUUUUAUUUCUCAAUAAUAACAACUUUAGUGGAACACUUGAAGAUGUAUUGGGAAAUAAUACAGGAUUAGUAUUUCUAUCCAUAUCCAAUAAUUCAUUCUCAGGAACAAUUCCUAGCUCAAUUGGGACAUUUUCUUACAUCUGGGUCCUUCUUAUGUCUCAAAAUAUAUUAGAAGGUGAGAUCCCUAUUGAGAUUUCCAACAUGUCAAGUCUUAAAAUUCUGGAUCUUUCUCAAAACAAGUUAAUUGGAUCAAUCCCAAAGUUAAGUGGUUUGACAGUUCUUAGGUUCUUGUAUUUGCAAAAGAAUAAUCUCUCUGGCUCGAUACCAUCUGAACUCUCUGAAGGCUCACAACUACAACUUCUAGAUUUGAGGGAGAACAAAUUUUCAGGUAAAAUUCCCCACUGGAUGGAUAAGCUAUCAGAGUUACGUGUUCUUUUACUAGGAGGGAACAAAUUGGAAGGAGAUAUUCCAAUUCAAUUGUGUCGGUUAAAAAAGAUAGACAUAAUGGACCUAUCACGGAACAUGCUCAAUGCUUCAAUACCAUCUUGCUUCCGAAAUAUGUCAUUUGGAAUGAGGCAAUACGUUGAUGAUGAUGACGGUCCUACUUUUGAAUUCUCAAUAUCCGGAUAUCUUCCAACGAUUUCCUUCAAUGCUAGUUUGUCGAUUCAACCUCCAUGGAGUUUGUUUAAUGAAGAUCUACAAUUUGAGGUGGAGUUCAGAACAAAGCACUAUGAAUACUUUUACAAGGGUAAAGUUCUAGAGAAUAUGACUGGAUUGGAUUUAUCAUGGAAUAACCUAACAGGUCUCAUCCCUUCUCAAAUUGGUCACCUUCAACAAGUUAGAGCCUUGAACCUAUCACAUAAUCACUUGUCUGGUCCUAUUCCAAUUACUUUUUCAAAUCUUACCCAAAUAGAGAGCCUUGACUUAUCAUACAAUAACUUGAGUGGUAAGAUACCAAAUGAACUAACCCAGUUGAACUUUUUAU